GAAACCUAAUUUCCCUAGUUCUGUACAAAAGAGUGCUCUAGCCAGAAGUAAAGUGUCUAGAUUCCCUAGCUCUAGCUAGAAAUCACAGUGCUGACACUUUCUGUUCAGCAUGAACAAAAUAAAAAUCCUAUUUCUGUUUAUAUUACCUGAGCACAGUAUGAAGACAAAUUCAGAGCAGCAAGAUGUACAUGAUCUACCUUACUUGCCGGGGAUACGAUCAAACGGAGACCGCGUGCGCUAGUCACCUGCAUCGUGGAGAAGAGCUCCCUCGUAGACACAAGAGCAUACAAGAUAAAGUAGAGAAGAUGUGUCAACAACAUUAACAGGUCACUCCAUGUCAUAGUCCUUGGCCAGGGUCAGGGGACCUUGAAUCCUAGAAAUCUGCGGAGGAGGCAUCAUCAGGAGCAAUCUAUCACUACUCACAAAAUAACCCAAGAGGCGGGUACAGACUAUGUUAACCAUUUAUGUGUACAGAAUAUGUUAACUUGCACCACACCAGAGAAAUUUCUCAUCGGCAGCGGAUUUAUUAAUUUUCUGAUUAACACACAAGCUCGAGCUAGCGACCAACGACACGAGGACUACAGUCUCAUGUCUUCUCACAAAUAUCCAGUCAAAACAUGAAACUUAAUCUCAUCAUAGUCAGAUUAGGUUUGUCCUAAUCGAUUGAAACGACCACAAAUCCCAUCAAAAAUAUUAGUAGAAUAAAUCUAGUCACGGAAUGGAGGCCAUCCAGUGAUCUGCUCCAUCGAGCAGCUAACAGGUGAAACCAUCACUUAAUCAAAGGACCUCCCUGAGUAAUCCAGCAUCAACCGAUAUGAACAGAAUGUAGCUAGUGGUAGAAAUAAUUCAUUGGCAGAACCAUGGAACUAUCAUAGAUCCACUUUACUUGACCUAAUUACAUGAAACUCAAUUUGACUAAACUAAAAUGGAAGAAACGGUCAAAUCCAAGAAGCUAGAUAGUCUAACUCUAGCCUACCACAAGAAAAUGAAAAUAAAGUAAACCCCAAACCAUAUUUAUAAUACUACUAUUUCUCCAAGGAAAUAAGUGUGCAAUCUGUAACUCGGAGCAGGUUCAGCAAGUUAGUUGAGAGGCUAAUCCUGAGCGCGCACGGAGCUAAUUUCUCCAACCAAGGCAGGAACCAUGGGUGCUUGUUUUUUUUUUUUAGAACGAAGGCUCGCGGAGAGCCCGGCUUUGAAUUAACAAAGCCAUCAACCGGCCAGGAAAUACAGACACACACAAACCCCCACGACCAAACGAUACAAGGGGACACUCUAGGAGGCUUACAACUCAACGGGUCGCACAAGCACAAAAAGAAUACAGGAAAACAAAGCGCGAAGCUUGUCCUAGCCGAAGACUACAGCCAAACAGCCAACUAGGGAUGAGGCACACACGGGCACGACGAGGACCUGCUUGCAACAGAGAGUGGUGAGUGAGCCCGACCAACACCCAAGUAGAAGCCACCACACAUCCGCCGUCUCUCUCGCCUCAGAGGGACCCUUCCCCCUCGCCAUGGCUCGCCAGGCGCCGUACCCGGCGGACUUGAGAGACGCUCACCCUAGAGCAGGGGACGUGUCAGCUUCGGGACCUGGAGCAGCCGCAGCACUUCACCACUUGAACAUUCGAGCACUCCGCGACUGCCGCAUCGCCACAACCUAGAACGCCUGAGAGCUGCAGGAAAACCACCAGGUGCAGCUACUGAAGAAAGGCACCAGAGGCAUCAAGAGAACCAACAGGCCACUGAGAAGCAUUGCCAGGCAGCCGAACGCCUACAGCCAUGCCGAACCUAGUGACACCGCCGUCACCGGACCACCCAAGCCACCCAAGCUCCGACCUUGAACCCCUCACCUGAAUGCAACCCUCCCCAGGCGGCGCCCCCAAGGAAGAACACGUCGCACAGCGCGCCGUCACCGCCCAAUCCAUGCCGGAUUUUGGGCUUUCACCCGGGAGGAGGAACAGGGGUGGAAAGGGGAAGGGCCUCUGCAGCACCUCCAAGGAGGAGACGGCGUCGGGGACGUCGCUGCUGCCAGGCCGGCCACGCCGGCCAACGGUUUCCCGCGGCCCAAAACCAGACCACCGGUCACCCACCCACAUCAUACCAGCGCUCGGAGGGAGGCAGGCGAGAAGCGGCGGGGACGAGGAAGACAGGGGAAAGGAGCCACCCUCAGAUCUGACGAGGAGGGGAGACCUCCGCGCCGCCGCCGCCACCCGCCGACGCCUCACCACCCGCGUGGUCGAGGCCGCCGGCCAGAGCACACCCGCGAACGACGCCGGUCGAGAAAGUGCCACCGCCUCGCCGAGAAGGGCCGCCGCCCCAGAUCCGAGGUCCUCCUCGAGGAAAGGAGCGACCGAGGCCUCGCCGCCACCUUCACGGGCAGCCGCACGCGCGGAUCCGGCGGCUAACUCGGGUGGCGGCGAGGGAGGGAGGGUGAGGGAGCGGUGGCGCGACGGGAAAACCCUAGUCGCCGCCCGAGUCGCCCGAGGCGGACGACGCGGGGGCCGCGCGGGGAGGGGGGGACCCCAUGGGUGCUUGUUCCCAUGGAACCUCUCCUCAGCUGCUGAUAGGGAGUCGAGUAGCAGGCUAAGCAGGUCGUCCUUGACGGCAGCAACAGCCAGGCGUGAGCCACGUAUAGGUGCACAACAGCAGGGAGAUUGGAAACAAAAAGAGGAAGAAAGAACACACCUUUCACAUGGUGGCAAACCGAGCAAAUGGCAGACAACAUGCAGGGUCAGAUCCGGAACCAGAGGUGGAAGGCGAGGAGGAGCAGCGCUGAGGCGACGGCGGAGACGACGAGAAGCCGCCGCCGCGCAGACCCCCUGGGCCACACCGCCCGCGCCGCGUGCCAUAAGCCGCCGCCUUUGCCUCGCCUCGCCAUUCCUCCUUCCCUCAUGUGGGAGCCGAGGCCGGGCCGGGGCGUUAGGGUUUGGGCGGCGCCUGAUCGGAAGGGUGGAAGGAGUAGAACGUGAGGAGAGGAGGCUGGGCGGCGACGGGGAAGGAGGCAGUGGUGGCGGCGCUAGGGGCGAGAGGAGGAGAGGGAGGCGCGGGUGCGGGCGACGCUAGGGGGAGAGGGAGGCGCGGGUGCGGCGGCGCUAGGGGGAGAGGCAGAGGAGAGGGAGGCGGGGCGAGUGCGGGAGGAGGAAGGCAGCGGCUAGGUCGUCUCCACGGGAGCGGCUGGCUUUUAUAUCCCUGUGAGCGAAAUGACAAAAAUGCCCCGGCGAGGCUGGCUAUUUACGCGCGCUGGCAUGAACGAGAUGGUAACUAUUCAUUGUAGCAGUAACUUUUUUUCAAUCCAACGGCCAAGGUCUUCCACGAGCAAGAUCCGACGGUCCUAAACACAUCAAGUAAACGAUCUGACGGCCGACAGUGGCUAAGCUUUGAGAAAGCUCAUGUUCUCCCUAUAUACUUAUUCCUGAAUAAAGAAGUAGCAGGAACGACACGUUCCUCUUGCUAUCAAUCUAGCGACUUGUGUGCGUACGUGCAUCUUGUGUUUCGGCCGGAAUCAAUCAACUAGAUUGGAGGCUUAGCUUGUACAUGCACAUCGCAGGCUACGGUGUCAAUCGAUCAAGAACGGUCGAGCCAGCUUGGAGCAGAAACCAAGAUAGUUAGCCGGUCGUUGCCGUCGCCAGAAAGUAUUUGGCGUCGGGUCUUGCAUCGUCAGAAAGUACUCGACGGUUGCGUCGUCAAGGUCGGGCUUGUGCCAACACAUAAUCAUAUACUACCUCACAAAUGUCUACUCGAGUACUGCAUGUCCCUCAAAUGAACACCCAUAUAGUUGCUACAGCCCAGGUUCGGCCAUACUAAAACCAUGUCUAACCUAUCUCCUACAAUUUAGAGGAAGAUACGCCUGAGCAUAUUUGCUCCUCUAAGAAAGUGUUGUUUCUAACCGAUCACCUAUACUUAAUUCCUUCAACAACAAAAAAUCAGCGCAAAAUCGGUGCAAAUUUGUUUCAAACUUGAUUCAAAAUAUUUUACAGAAAUUAAACUAAAUUUGAACUAGAUUACAUACAAACUAAAUAAAAUUACUCACUAUCGCUCUCGUUCUCCAACACCUCCAUGUCCAAUUCAGUAAAUGACGCGCCUUCUAUGGCACCACCUCCAUGCCGUCGUUGCUCGCACCGCCUUGGCCUGCUGUUGCCUCCAUCGUCGCCGUUGUAGUCACUAGACCAAUGGUGGAUGACCUCCGUUGCCCGGGCCUUGUACUGCUCGUACAGCGGCGCUCCGCCUCAAUGCGGUUCAGGUACAAUAGGCAAUGUUUUGCCAUGCACGCCUCGCGAGCUUCCUACACCUCGAGGCGCUUGCAGGCCACAUACCCGGACCUCACGCCAAAGUUUAACAUCUAAAGUUGAAGGCCCACUAGUAGAAAAAAGCUCAUUUGUCCCGGUUCCAGAGGCCCAUUUGUCCCGGUUCACUUACGAACCGGGACAGGUGGAGCUCCACGUGGACGCUAUGGCGAGCCCAGGCAGGAGGGCCUUUGGUCCCAGUUGGUAACACCAACCAGGACCAAAAAGCAUCCACGCGUCAGCAGCUGGCAGGAGCUGAGGUUUUUGAUUUUUUUUUAAAGGGGGUGGGUUUAGGGGGUUUUGGGGGUUAAUUUAGGGUGUUACCUAGCUAAUAGAGAGAAGUGUCCUCUCUUAUCUUCGUGCUUGGUUUACCAGCGCUACUAAUAUGCCUAAACAUGGCUUAGAUUGAAGUGAAGGCAACAUGUGGUGCAUGUCAAAAGUAAUAAUAAUCCUAACUUGAUCAAGUUUGGAUUAGUACUACUUUCGACAUGCACCACAUGUUGCCUUCACUUCAAUCUAAUCCAUGUUCAUUUCACCCACUGAUAUAUAAUAACUCUUCAUGCUCGCAUCAUGCAGCAUCAUAAUAACAAGUCCUACUCAUCAUCAUCAUACAACUUCUACUCGUUAUUAAUAACAAGUCAUACGAUCAUCAUCCUCAUAGUCAUCGAACCAACCCUACUUAAUUGUUCUUAGCACAUGAUCAUGAGUAUUAGGUAGUACCUAAAUACCCUCUUUAAGGUAAAAUAGCGUAAAACAAUAUAGGCCCGACUCUUCAUUAUGGAGAAUGGAGAUCAUCCUGUCUCCAAUUCUUGCGCUUCGCUUCCUUUUGCUUCCAAUUACCUCCGUACGUUUGACCAUACAUUUUGUUCAAUCUUUGAUUGUCAUGUGUUGAUCGGUUUUUGAAAUCCGGUAUGGACAGUUGUGAUGCGUAGGAUGACCUGGCUGUAAGUUCAUAACAUCAACGCGACCUUUCGGAAACAUCAUCAGAUGAGGCACACAAUCAUUUCGGAUUAUCUGUUGAAAAACAUAGUAAUAACUUCGUAGUUAGCAAUGUAUAGUUGAGUUUUAGAAGAAUUUAUGCAAAAGAAGCACGAAUGUCGUAAUAGUAAAAAAUCUUACCAUUUUAUCUCCAUGGAUAUUAACAUAGUUCAACACGUGCACUAGUGGCACGUAUUGACCAUAAUGUUGAGGAGUUUGAUAGUAUAUAUUGUAAUUCUCAAGAUCAGUACAAAAUGCGAUCAGAUGAUUUUUCUCCUGAUAAGUUAAUUCUGAUCCAUCGGUGUAGUAGGUUCUGUCUACCAUAUUCCGCACAUUCUUUGAACAAUGAAAAUAAGCUGUCGAUGGAAAUAAGUUGUCAACUAUUUUGAAAUAAACAACAUAAAUUACUUAAUAACUAUGUUUGAGAAACUCACAUAGCGGUAGAAUUGGAAGCGUAUCAACAAGGACCCAAAUGUCCGAAUUGUCUUCGGCGGUGUCAGGAUCACCAAGAUCCAUGGUGACUAGCAUACCCUCAUAAAAACCAUACAUCUUGCAAAGUGCUUCUCAAUUCAUGCAACCAAAAUGGGUUACGCUCUCAGAAUUGUACAGAUUUACUUCAAAAUCCAUACCAUGAUGGGUCCUUAGGUGAAUUUUCUUUGUUUCCAUAGUUUCAUGAUCUUCAAAAUUUAGCCUCUCCAAGACAUAGCGUCUUGCAUGGCAUGGGAUAAACUAGUCGAAUUGUAAAGGACGAAAAUUACACGUUGAAGUAGUAGAAGUUGUGCUUAAUUACGAAAAAAUACUUGUCGUCGUUCCGUAGUGUUUCAACCUCGAAGGUCUCCUGGAGCUUAAUGCUGAAGCGCCGACCUUCGUCCAGGUGAGGCAUGUCGCACAGACCCCGGUCGUCGUUGCACCAGUCGCACUCCCCCAGGAGACUUUCAUAGUCCGAUGACGACAUUUUCUAGGUUCAUAUAAUUCAAAGAUUAAACUUGUACAAUUAAAAAUAUGUACUACAAAAACUAAAUUAGAUCAUUAUUAUUUAUCAUGGGUUGACUAUCGGAGCAAUCAAAGUAGGAGUAGUUUUCCAAUUUGAGCAUUCAAUAAGCAAAACCAAAUCGUAAAUAAAUUAGUAUUCAAAUUAGCAUGCAUUCAAUAAGCAAAACUAAAUCAUCUCUUUUGUCCGUACAUCGUCGAAUAUUAUCACUAAUACAUCUCGAAUAGUAUCAUACAUAUAACAUCACUAAUAUAGCUAAAACCCUAGCGAACGACGGGUAUCGGCGCGGACGGUAGACACCCAAAGAGAAGGAACCAUCACAAGAUCCUAGCUCCAGUGAGAUCCCUAAAGAACCUGCCAGGUAUUGGAGAACCUGCCCUCCAACGCAACCAUGUAGCGAAGGACGUGCUCGUCCUCCUCGCUGACACGGUGACGUACCACCUCCGCGGGGUCCUCAAGCAUCCGCACCAUCACUGGCCCAUGCGACCGCCACCAAUGAAGGUUCGGGUCCACGACGGGCUGGCUCCUCACCAAGCUUCGUCCCUCGAAAGGUAGCACCUCCCAGUACCAACCCAACGGAGCCCAGCCCGGGCAUGGCCCCUCUGAUCAAGCAGGCCUCCUCCGCCGAGUCGACGACGAGGAUGUGUCAUAGGUAUCGUCGACGUUGAUGCGGGAAUAAUUGCUUUAACUAAAAAAUAAACUAGUUCUAUUAAUUUUCUUACUAAAAAUAAACUACUUCUAUAGUAAAAUAAACUAGUUUUAUUAAUUCGACUAGUUCAACUAAGCACUUUACUAUAAAUACAAUAAAGUAGUACUUACUAAAAAUAAAUUAGUUUAACUAGUUCUAUUAUUUUUCUAACUAAUUCUAUUAAACACUUACUAAAAACAGUAAAAUAACUAUAUUGAAUUUUUUCUAUAAACUAAACACUAUACUGCCUUAAAUUAACAUCUACUUAUUAGUUACCUAACCUACUUCCCUAACUAAGAAACAUCUAAUUAACUAAAAAAAUCUAAUUCAACUAACCUAAAAUGCACUAACCUAACAUCUAAUGCACUAACCUAAAUCAACUAACAUAGAACAUUCAUCGAGCAAGAUCAACUUGAACAAAAAUAUCGACAAUGAUAAUNNNNNNNNNNNNNNNNNNNNNNNNNNNNNNNNNNNNNNNNNNNNNNNNNNNNNNNNNNNNNNNNNNNNNNNNNNNNNNNNNNNNNNNNNNNNNNNNNNNNNNNNNNNNNNNNNNNNNNNNNNNNNNNNNNNNNNNNNNNNNNNNNNNNNNNNNNNNNNNNNNNNNNNNNNNNNNNNNNNNNNNNNNNNNNNNNNNNNNNNNNNNNNNNNNNNNNNNNNNNNNNNNNNNNNNNNNNNNNNNNNNNNNNNNNNNNNNNNNNNNNNNNNNNNNNNNNNNNNNNNNNNNNNNNNNNNNNNNNNNNNNNNNNNNNNNNNNNNNNNNNNNNNNNNNNNNNNNNNNNNNNNNNNNNNNNNNNNNNNNNNNNNNNNNNNNNNNNNNNNNNNNNNNNNNNNNNNNNNNNNNNNNNNNNNNNNNNNNNNNNNNNNNNNNNNNNNNNNNNNNNNNNNNNNNNNNNNNNNNNNNNNNNNNNNNNNNNNNNNNNNNNNNNNNNNNNNNNNNNNNNNNNNNNNNNNNNNNNNNNNNNNNNNNNNNNNNNNNNNNNNNNNNNNNNNNNNNNNNNNNNNNNNNNNNNNNNNNNNNNNNNNNNNNNNNNNNNNNNNNNNNNNNNNNNNNNNNNNNNNNNNNNNNNNNNNNNNNNNNNNNNNNNNNNNNNNNNNNNNNNAAGGCCUCUUUUCAACAGCCCAAAGGGCGGGAAACAAAGACCUUUGGUCCCAGUUGGUGGCACGAACCGGGACCAAAGAGUGGCAUUGGUCCCAGUUGUUAUCACAAACCGAUAUCAAUGCACCCCUUUCGUCCAGGUUGGUAGCACCAACCGGGACCAAAGGCCUUGUGCUGCCCACGGCCAAAAGUUUAGUCCCACCUCGCUAGUUGAGAGGGGCUCGGAGUGGUUUAUAAGCCCCACUACGGCUGCCCUCUCGAGCUCCUCUCAAAUGCAGGCUUAUGGGCCUAAUGUCACACUAACUGCCUAUGGGCCUACUGGGCCUUCUGCGGGCCUGAAUCCUGGCCCAUGGUUGGGUUUCUAGUCAUAUUCAGGCCGUGGCGGCCCAGUAGGAGGCAUUUUUUAUUUUUAUUUUCCAGUUUUUUUCUUUAUUUAUUUCAUUUUGUUUUUUGCUUUAUUUUUUAGUUCUUUUUGCUUUUAGGAGAGAAAAAAUAUAAACUUUCUGUUAGUGCCAUUAGUUUUCAAUUUUGAAUAGUUUAAAUUUGAAUUCUUUGAAAUUUGUGUGAAUCACUAGUUUGUGAUUAACUUUACUAUAAAAAUAGAUUUUGGAGUGAUACUUUUUCCUGCUAUUUAAUAUUACUGUGUUUUAUCAUUAUAUUCAAAAAUAUUUUUUGUUAUUUUAGUUUCUAACAAAAAAAUCUUUACGAUAAUUGUUUUUGCUAUUAAAGUUUUAACAAAAAAGUUAUUUAUGAAAAUUCUUUUUGCUUUUAAUGUUUUGAACAGAAAAUACUUUGAUAAUUUUAGUUGCAUAAAUUUUAUAUAAUUUUAGUUUCAAUAAUACUAGAGGUUUAUAAAAAGCUUUUUAAUUGAUUCCUUUUGCUACUAGAGUUUCAUUAAAGUUUUCUAGUUCAUUCUUUUUUCUAUUAGAGUUUCAUUAAAUUUUUCUAGUUCUUUCUUUUAGUUUAUUAUUUUUUAUAUUAGAGUUUCAUAAAAGUUUUCUAGUUCAUUCUUCUUUAUAUUAGUUCAUUCUUUGAGCUAAAUGACCCUGAAAUUGAAAAGCACUUCAGAUGAACUCUGAAGAGGUUGAAAAUUGGCAUUAUAUAGUCAUUUCACCCACAUAGCUUGUGCUAAAAAUUGAGAGGAUUACGGCAAAAACUGGAUGCACUUCGUGUAUAAAACAGACAAUCUUUUUCGAAGUAUCGGGGUUUCGGGCGAAAACUCGUGUGUUACAAAGGGAUUUCAUUUUUUGAACUUAUUUGAACUCCAGACUUUUUGUGUGUUCAAAAUUCACCAUUCAACGCCACAUCAUAAAUUUUCAACCCUUUCUGACUUCAUUUGUUAUUUUUCAUGCAUUUACUGAUUUUUUGAACUAAAUGACCCUGAAAUUGAAAAGCACUUCAGAUGAACUCUGAAGAGGUUGAAAAUUGGCAUUGUUUCAUCAUUGCACCCACAUAGCAUCUGCUAAAAAGUUGAGAGGAUUACGGCAAAAACUAGAUGCACUUCGUGUACUAAACGGACAAUCUCUUUCGAAGUAUCAGGGUUUCGUGUGGAAACUCAUCUGUUACAAAAGGAAUUCAUUUCUUUGAACUUAUUUGAACUCCAGACUUUUUGUGUGUUCAAAAUGCACCAUUCAAAGCCACAUCAUCAAUUUUCAACCCUUUCUGACUUCAUUUGUUAUUUUUCAUGCAUUUACUGAUUUUUUUAGCUAUAUGACCCUGAAAUUGAAAAGCACUUCAGAUGAACUCUGAAGAGGUUGAAAAUUGGCAUUGUAUCAUUAUUUCACCCACAUAGCAUGUGCUAAAAAGUUGAGAGGAUUAUGGCAUAAACUGGAUGCACUUCGUGUACUAAACGCACAAUCUCUUUCGAAGUAUCAGGAUUUCAUACGGAAACUCGUCUAUUACAAAGGGAUUUCAUUUCUUUGAACUUAUUUGAACUCCAGACUUUUUGUGUGUUCAAAAUGCACCAUUCAAACACUACUGAAUGUGAGCGUGAGGAUCAGGAGAGGAGGGAGGAGGAGGUCGCCGGAGAGACCGUGAGGAUCAGGAGAGGAGGGAGGAGGAGGUCGCCGGAGAGGAGGAGGAGGACCGUGAGCAGGAGAGGAAGGAGGAGGACCGUGAGGAGGAGAGGUGGGAGGAGGAGGUCGCCGGAGGAGGAGCACCAUGAGGAGGAGGUCACCGGAGGAGGAGCACCGUGAGGAGGAGGAGGUCGCCGGAGAGGAGGAGAUGGAGUGCAAGAGAGGAGGAGAGGAGGAGAUGGAGUGGAGGAGAGGAGGAGAAGAAUGAAGGGGUAAGUGGCUGGCCGACCCUUUUAAACUUCUGUCCCAACUUAGCAGUGGCGCACCAUGCACUGGUGCGCCAUUGCUAUUUUUUUGAAUUGUGAAGGCGGGAAAAUAGCAGUGGCGCACCAUGCACUAGUGCGCCAUUGCUAAUUUAUUUAUUUUUUGCAUUUUUUUCAAUUUUUUUGCCUCCAGAUAUUAAAAGCAUCGUAACUUUUUUUCUGUUAGGUUUUUGAGGAUUCUAGAAAAUCGAUAACAGGCAUAGCCGGUCAUAUUUGAAUGUAACUUUUCGAGUAGAUGAUUUUUCAUAUAAAAAAACUUUUUCAUCGGAGGUCGUAUGCAAAAUUUACGGCCAUUUUACCGAAACACGGCGGCCUUUUGCAAAAAAAUACAAAAUUCAUGUUUGUUAAUUUGCCUAACAACUAGAACACAUAACACAUGGGCAUCUAUUUUUUAGAUUUUUUUUGAAUCUUUUAUCAUUUUCUUUUAUUUUUUAAUAAACCUAAAAGGCGAUCCGCAAGGGGGGUGUGUUUGUGUGUGAGAGACCUUAGUAAUGGCGCACCCUCCCUGGUGCGCCAUUACUAACCUCACUCACACACGCAGGCACACCCCCACCAGACAUAGCAAUGGAGCACCAAACCUAGGUGCGCCACUACUAUGUAGCAUAGCAGUGGCACACCUAGGUGUGGUGCGCCAUUGCUAUGUCUGGUGGGGGUGGAUAAAAAAAUAGCAAUGGCGCACUGCUUAUGUGGUGCGCCAUUAGUAAAAACAUAGCAAUGGCGCACCUGAUUCUAGUGCGCCACUGCUAUAUAGCAGUGGUGCACCACAUACAUGGUGCGUCAUUAAUGUCCAUAUUAGCUAUUUCCUGUAGUGAAAGCCACAUCAUCAAUUUUCAAUUCUUUCUGACUACAUUUGUUAUUUUUGAGGCAUUUACUGAUUUUUUAGCUAUAUGACCCUGAAAUUGAAAAGCACUUCAGAUGAACUCUGAAGAGGUUGAAAAUUGGCAUUGUAUCAUCAUUUCACCCACAUAGCAUGUGCUAAAAAGUUGAGAGGGUUACGGCAAAAACUGUAUGCACUUCGUGUACAAAACGGACAAUCUCUUUCGAAGUAUCAGGGUUUCGCAGGAAAACUCAUCUUUACAAAGGGAUUUCAUUUUUUUAACUUAUUUAAACUCCAGACUCUUUGUGUGUUCAAAAUGCACCAUUCAAAGCCACAUCAUCAAUUUUCAACCCUUUCUGACUUCAUUUGUUAUUUUUCAUGCAUUCACUGAUAUUUUUGAGCUAAAUUACUCUAAAAUUGAAAAGCACUACAAAUGAACUCUGAAAAGGUUGAAAGUUGGCAUGGUAUCAUCAUUUCACCCACAUAACAUGUGCUAAAAAGUUGAGAGGGUUAUGGCAAAAACUGGAUGUAUUCCUGUACAAAACGGACAAUCUCUUUCGAAGUAUCAAGGUUUCGGACGAAAACUGAUCUGUUACAAAGGUAUUUUAUUUUUUUAACUUAUUUGAACUCCAGAUUCUUUGUGUGUUCAAAAUACACCAUUCAAUUCCACAUCAUCAAUUUUCAACCCUUUCUGACUUCAUUUGUUAGUUUUCAUGCAUUCACUGAUAUUUUUGAGCUAAAUGGCGCUGAAAUUGAAAAGCACUACCAAUGAACUCUGAAAAGGUUGAAAGUUGGCAUAGUAUCAUCAUUUCACCCACAUAGCAUGUGCUAAAAAGUUGAGAGGAUUACGUCAAAAACUGGAUGCACUUUGUGUAGAAAACGGACAAUCUCUAUCGAAGUACCAGAGUUUCGGACGAAAACUCAUCUGUUACAAAGGGAUUUCAUUUUUUUAACUUAUUUGAACUCCAGACUCUUUGUCUGUUCAAAAUGCACCAUUCAAAGCCACAUCAUCAAUUUUCAACUAGAGAUUUAAGUUGUUGAAUUUUUUAUAGUUUUGUUUUAGUUGAUCAUAACAAAAAAUGAUUCUUUUUAGUUGCAUAAAUUUUAUAUAAUUUAAGUUGCAUAAAUUUUAUUUUUUAUUGAUUCUUUUUAGUUGAUUCCUUUUGCUAUUAGAGUUUUAUUAAAGCUUUUUAGUUGAUUCUUUUUGCUAUUGUAGAAUAUUAUAGUUUUGUUUUAGGAGGAAAAAAACACAUAUUUGGUCCCGGUUCCAGCCACCAAUCGGGACUAAAGGUGGUGGGCCAGGAGCAAGGCCCAUUGGUCCCGGUUUAUGUCUGGAACCGGGACCAAUGGCCCCCGAGGCCCGCCCCGGCCCGUGCCCUGGCCUCAUGAACCGGGACCUAUACCCCCAUUGGUACCGGUUCAGGAGUGAACCGGGAUUAAUGGGCUUGCCCUACCUGGACCAAAGCCCUGUUUUCUACUAGUGGCCUCAACCAAGACGAAUUGUCGGGUCUGGGUCACACACCGGUCUGGCUUGCUCUCGGUGCACACCGCAUGCACACUCUCUAGGGUCUGCCGCCGCCAUCUUCAGGAGGGAUCAGUGCAUCGACCUUGAUAGGCCUCUCUGCCGUCAACGUCACCACGGCGCCAGAAAAGCGCUAUCCUCUUGCGUGAGUCCAUCUACACGCAUCUGACGCCAUGACUCCACUGUGCCACAUCGCCGAGAUCCGCCGUCGUCGAUGCAGAAGAUGUAACACCUCUCCACCUCAGAGCCCCUGCAGUCAGCACCUGCUCCAAAACGAUGCCCUCAGGAGGGAGAAUGGCACAAUGUGCGAUCAUCCGAUCCGGGAGACCCAAAUCUAGGGUUCCCCCUGGACCAGCCCGAGCGAGAUGACGCAACCUGCAAUGAUGAUGCCUCAACAAGGAAACGACGUCAAAGACGCCGCCAUCAUCCGUCAAGACCGAAGUCGACGCGAUUUUCACCGGCAGUCGCGCCAUCCCGACCCUAUAGCUGACUGGAACCGCAUGGUGCCUCGCUAUGGAGAUGUACGCAAACAUCGGAAUGCUAAGGACCACCAUCGCAACCCCAGUCCACCAUCACCGCCGACACCACUGCCCAAAAUACAGUGCCAACCGUCAGCCACCGCCGUCCACGGCCCGCACCGCCUAGUGCCUUGGGACCAUGGAUCUACGCCAGAUCGCCGCCGCUGCCAAUACCCAGCACACCCCACCACCGGAGGCCAACCGCAUCUCCUGCCUCCAAACGAAGCCGCCAGGAAGCAGAGCACAUCGCGCUGAGGCGACCCUCCGCAUUAUGACGCCUUGGCCCGUUGAUUCCGGCCCACACAAAAUGCACGUGCGAGGGGUGCCGCCGCCGCCGGCGGCAGCAGGGGAGAGGAGGAGCGGAAGGAGGGGCGCCCGACGGCGGCUAGGGUUCCCUCCCAUCACCUGCGGGGGCGACUUGGGAUGUCGGACUCAAACAUCAUCAAAUGAUAAUGAUCAUAUAAUAUGAGUUGUGUGGCCCCCAAAAUAAGCAUACAAAGUCCACCUCAUGUCUCGUGAAAUGAUUGAUUUCACGACUAGACAAUUUGGUCCAGUUGGUGUAGAUUUCAAUUUUCAAGGGGUGUAAGCGUAUUCAUGCGCGACCACGCGAGCAUCUGCGCAAAACCAUGUAGCAAUCACCGUGUUUUUUUUCUGUCUCUCGUCAUGUAAUCCACACAGAACAAAAGCUUUUUCCAGAGCAUUUUUCAUAUGUGCACGCGUGUAUGAUGUGGAUGCUCAUGCCACAAGCUUAACCAACAACCAAAAAAAAAAGAUAAAGUACACCUAAGAGCAUUUUUUCGUGCAUAAGUACACCUAAGAACAUGUAAUACAAAAAACGUUAAUCAUUUAUUUAGAACAAUGUUAAUCAUAUAUAACAAAUGUUUCAUAUGUGAGACGCCAUGAUAAACGCUGGCCAGAGACGCUAUCGCGGGGCCACACCGCUCCCCCGCUCCCCCGCUCCUAGGGUUCCCCCGCCGCCGCCGCCGUCGGCUCCCACGCGCGCAGNNNNNNNNNNNNNNNNNNNNNNNNNNNNNNNNNNNNNNNNNNNNNNNNNNNNNNNNNNNNNNNNNNNNNNNNNNNNNNNNNNNNNNNNNNNNNNNNNNNNNNNNNNNNNNNNNNNNNNNNNNNNNNNNNNNNNNNNNNNNNNNNNNNNNNNNNNNNNNNNNNNNNNNNNNNNNNNNNNNNNNNNNNNNNNNNNNNNNNNNNNNNNNNNNNNNNNNNNNNNNNNNNNNNNNNNNNNNNNNNNNNNNNNNNNNNNNNNNNNNNNNNNNNNNNNNNNNNNNNNNNNNNNNNNNNNNNNNNNNNNNNNNNNNNNNNNNNNNNNNNNNNNNNNNNNNNNNNNNNNNNNNNNNNNNNNNNNNNNNNNNNNNNNNNNNNNNNNNNNNNNNNNNNNNNNNNNNNNNNNNNNNNNNNNNNNNNNNNNNNNNNNNNNNNNNNNNNNNNNNNNNNNNNNNNNNNNNNNNNNNNNNNNNNNNNNNNNNNNNNNNNNNNNNNCACGCGCGCAGGCGCGGCGGCGGCGGCCGGAGCCCGCCGGAGCCGCCAGCCCCUUCCCCCUGCCCCUCCCGUUCCCCUUCUCCUCCCCCCUCCAUUCCCCGUACCCCCGCGCCGCCUCCCCGAGCGAGGCGGCCGGGGGCCCUUCCACAGCGCCCCUCCAGCUAUCCCCCGCGUCCCUCCCUCCUCCCGCCGCCGUCAGCGUGCGCCGCCGGUCCUCGGCCGCGUGGUGCUGGCGGCAGUGGGCAUGCCCUUCCCCGCACGCGGCCGUCCCCUGCUUGGGAGUUGAUGGCCGGCUUCGGUGCUGCCCGUCGGCGGUGAUGCCGCGGGCCGCGGUGGUUCUUGACACGGCGGUGCGGCCGUUGGCCGUGGGGCUGUGCGGUGCCGCUGGUCUUGGCGGCGCCCGCCCUGCCCAGAUCUGGGCCAUUGGGCCAUCCGGGUUGGGCGGGCCGGUGGCUCGGCGUUCAGCGGCGUCGUUCCCUGGUGGUGGCGUGGUGGCGGUGGUCUCGGGCGGUGAGGGCUUCGUCGAUCGGCGCGCUGCAGCGUGGUGACAGGACUGUCUGGGUACAAGUGGACCCGGUCGGCAUUCGGUGCCCGGCAAGUCCUUGUCGCCGCGUCCGGUCGGCCCCGCUGGGGCGGUGGAGGUUGUUCCCUCCCUCCGGUGGCGUUGUGAUCGCUCAUGUGGCCAUUGUUCCCUUUCCAUCUCCAGGUCUCGUGUUGGUAGCUCCAGUGAGGCGGCGAGGGUUGCCUGGUAAUCAUGGUGGCACACGCUGGUGGGCGGAUGUUGGGGUGAUGCAUGUCGAAAUGCCUGGGGUGGUGGUGGUGGUCGUGGAUCGGGAGAAAUCCAUGUCAGCUUGUCCGGCACCGGCGCGGUGACGCCUGCAGGCGCCAUCGGUCCCUCUUGAGGGGCGUCGGAUGAAUCCCUUCCCCACCAUCCCCAGUGUACAAGAGAAAACCCUAGAACUUGUUCGGGCAACAAUGACGACACCGUCUCAUUCCUUCUUGAAGGUGUUGCUUGGUGCACGACGCUUCGGGAUGCUGGGAGCGUGGUGGUACUUCUUCGGAGGGUGUAGCGGUUGCCGGGCUUCCUUUCUCCGUUGAUCUGCCAAUGUCGGCAUUUUCUCUCUCUUCUUUUUCUUCUUGUUUUUCCUUUUGGGCUCUGCUGUGUUGUGGCCCCAGCAAGCUGGAUGUAUCGGUUGUCUGCUUUAUGUAUAAAGUGGGGGGAAACCCUUUUUCUUAAUGUUUCAUAUGUAUAUGAAAAAUAUACGUGCAUGAAAAACUAAACAUCAGAACAUAUAAACUAAAAAAUGUUAAUCGUGUAUUUAAAAAUGUUAAAACAUGCAUAAUUGUUUUUAUAUACAUAAAAAAUGUACAUUAUGUGUGAAAAGGGUAGAGAUGUGUUGAAAAACCUACAAAAUCGUAAGAAAACCAUGAAUCCCAAUGAAAAUCAAAGAAAAAAACAAGAAAAAGAAAUAAAACUAAAGAAAAGAAGAAAAAGGAAAAACCCAAUGAAAACCUAGGAAUAACUCCAAAGAAAAAAAAGGGGGGAAACGAAUAAAAAUAUGGGAGCUCCUAACCGGCGCCUUUCAGCGCCGGUUGGACCUUCUGGCGCCCACGCUGCUCCUGUUAUGGGCCCGGCCCAGGAACACGCAGCAGUCCAAUGCAGUAGCCCGUAAAAAUACCAAAAAUAUAUGGCCCUGCUGUGGAAUCGAACACGCGUUGCUUACCUCCAGUAAAUGGUUAGCCAACCACUCGAGGUACCCCGCAGUACUGAAACAUUUCAGCGCGACAAAGCUUGAGAACAAAACGCUGCAGCCACGUAGAUUUAUGGAUUAUUUAAAAACAUUUAGAAAAACAUGAUUUCUUUUGAACAACAAUGUGAAAUAUUUUUGAAAGUUCACAGAUUUUAUAAAGAAUCACGAAUAAAAAAAGUUCAUGGAUUCAAAAAAAAGUUCACGGAUUUUGAAAAAAAAAGUUCACGAACGUAAACAAAAGUUCAUCAAAUUUUAAAAAAAGUUCGCCGACUUAAAAAAAAGUUCAUCAAAUUUUUAAAAAGUUCACCGACCUCAAAAAGUUCAUCAAAUUUUAAAAAAAGUUCAUCAAAUUGAAAAAAUAUUCAUCGAUUUUGAAACAAAAAGUUCACGGAUUUUAGUAAAAGUUCAUCCUAUUAGAAAAAAGUGCAUCAAAUUUGAAAAAAGUUCAUCGAUUUAAAAAAAUGUUCAUCCAAUUAGCAAAAGUUCAUCGAAUUUGAAAAAUUGUUCAUAAUAUUCGGUGAACUUUUUUGCAUCGAAUUAGAAAAAGGAAAAUAGUUGAAAAAAAGAAAAAAAGAAAAACGAAAAAAAAGGGAUAACAGAAGAAGAAGCAGUCCAUUAUCACAGUAGGUGGAGUGGCUGGCGUGGUUGGCAUGUCUUGCACUGAAGCUCGAAGCGGGGGGUGUGCGCCCUGUACCGUUAAAGCUGUAGCGGGCGCUUAGAGCGCCGUUUAGGAUUUGCCAAUGAGUACGGCUUCACCUAAAAAAAACAAUGAGUACGGCCGGUGUAGCCUCACAGCACAUAUGUGUUGGCAAUUCCUAUUUGACACUCUCAAGCGUCCAACUGCAGCGCUUGCACUGAAGCGUGCGAGCGAGCACCGUCAAAAGGGCCGGCCCACUUUGAGCGUUAAAGCUGUGCCAUGCAAACAAUACUUUUCUUUUGUCGGUCUUUUUUCCUCCUUUCCUUUUUCUUUUUUUACUAUAUUUUUCCUCUUUUUUGUGUCUGUUUCAUUUUUUCUGUUUCUAUUUCUAUUACCUUUAGUUUUCUUUUAUUUUAAAAUUUCAUUUUUUAUACUUAUCCUUCGUUUUCAAAAAAUGUUUGAAAUUCUAAAUUUUGGUCACGAUGUCAAAAGUUGUUCAUGGUUAUCAAAUAUUUUCAAUUUAUAAAAAUUUUCUUAGAAUUCAAAAAUUGUUCAGCGUAUAUCACAAAAAUGUGCAAUAUGUAUUUAAAUAUUGUUCAGUGUAUAUCACAAUAUGGUCAACAUGUAUUUAGAAAUUGUUAAUUGUAUACCACAAAAAAUGUUCUAUGUGUAUUUUUAAAUUAUUCAUCAUAUAUCAUAAAAAUGUUCAGUGUGUUUUAAAAAAUUAUCCAGCAUAUAAUACAAAAAACUUCAAUGUAUAUUUUGAAAUUUCAGCCUGUACAUUUUUUCAUGUUUUUCAAUUUUCUCACUUUUAAUUUUUUUUGCAUUCUAAAUGUUGGUUAAAUUUUGUAUUUUUACGUAUUUAAAGAUUAUUCCAUUAUUAAAAGAAAUGUUUUCCAUAUUUUUCCAAGAACGAUUGGAUUUUUUUGGAAAAAAAGGAUGCCGCCGUAACUAGUGCUUACGUACUCGCACUUCGUUUUAGCCAAGCACGAGUGGCUACAAACUGUGCUUUAUAGCUUGCCGUCGGGAGUACAACUCCACACGCCUGCUUUUAAUUUUUGUGAAGUUUUACAUUCAACGCCUGCAAAUGGGCCGGCUCGUUUGUAUGUCCAUCAGCGAAAGCUCGGCCUAUAGGACCUCUCAUCACUGUUAUCCGUAUCGUAUGGCGGGGCUGCGUUGAAUGGAAAAAUGGUUAUUAAAGCCUCAUUAUUACUGUGUUGUUAGAUUGUUCAUCUAUUUUAGUAUGUUUGCAUUUCCAUUAUAUUUGGUUGUUAUGUUUACAAUCAUAUAAAUAAAUUAGGGAAAUUUUACGGUGCAUUAUAAUACACCAGAGUACGUGUAUUAUAUGGGUGAUCUAACGGAUAACAAUAACUGGGCCUUUUUGAGCCCAUGGGUAUUUUCGACCUAAUUUUUUUACCUUUAAUCGGCCCAAUUAGGUGCAGGGGUAUUCUCGUCCUAAAUUUUUCAAUUAAAUUAAUUACAUUAAUAAAGCACUUCAUUAUAGAGGUCCCAUCAUCGUGCGUACUCUUUUGAAUUUCGGUUCGAGCAGUUCGUCCUCUCUCCUCCUCUCGAGCCCUAACCUCGGGCCCCCUCGAUCGCCUCCGGCGCCCUCGAUCACCGCCGAUCGCCCCCGGCACCCUCGAUCGCCGCCGAUCGCACCCGCCGUGUCUACCCCUCCUGCUCCUACUCCUACCCUCCCCCUCCAUCGCAAGUCACCCCACUCGGGUCGCGGCGCCAGAUCUUCCGACGAGCCGGUAAUCCACUCCUUCCCCGAGCGGACGUCACCUUCCCCGACCCGAGAGGCCACAUCAUCCUCAUCGAUGUGCAUCAACUUUUUCACGCCGGAUCUUCGCUGUAAGUGCCUAGCCAUCUCAAAUCUUUUCUGGUCCCUUCUGCAUAUAGAACCAAUAGGGGUCGGAUUUGAUUCGGGUUUAGGAUAUGUCAUGUGAGGUUUACGGUUUAUCGUUUCAGAAAGUUGUGACGAGAUUUCGGUCGGAUUUGGUUAGGGUUUAGAAUAUGUCAUCUGAGGAUUAGGGUUUAUGUUUUCAGAAAGUUGUGAUGAGAUUACGAUUGAAAGGAAGUGUAAGUCGGAUGUAGCUAGGACAUAUUGAAGGACUUAGUUAGGAUUAUGUGGCAUGAGAAAAUUGUCAGCAGAUUUGGAUUCAAAGAAAGUUAUUUUGGACUUAGUUAGGAAAUACUUUUGAAUUGAGUUUUGAGAUAUUUUGGAUUUAGUUAGGAGAUAAUUAUUUUGUAUGGAGUUUGGACUUAUUUUGGAUUUAGUUAGGAGAUAAUUUGGAUUUAGUUAGGACAUACUUUUGGAUUUUGUUAGGAGAUAAUUUGGAUUUUGUUAGGAGAUAAUUUUGAAUGGAGUUUGGAGAUAAUUGAUCUAUCAGGGUGGAUCUAUCAAGGCAUUUGAAGGACUCGUGGACUUUGCAUUUAGUUAGGAGAUCAUUAGUUAGAGCUAGUACAAUCAAUUACAAAUUUCUGGAUUUAGUCAGGGCAUAUUUACUUAUAGCUUUUGAAGGACUGAGUUAGGUACAUGAAUCCGAUAUGAAAAAUUAAAUCAAUUAUUUAAGCAGAGUAGUGCAUAAUUUCGGUAACGUAUGCUAUCCAUCCGUAACAUUGACUAUCUGUUUUCGCUGGCAGCAUAACGACAUGGAUGAUAAAGACAACGAUGGCAAAAACUUGGGUGAUACAGGCAAGGAUGACAAGGACAUGGGUCAUAGAGGCAACGAAGGCAAAGGCAUGGAUGAUAAGGACAAUGAUUUCGUAGCCAUGGACCCGAAAGGAAUGGAUGGUGUGUGCAUGGAUGAUAAGGAUAAUGAGGAUGCAGGCAAGGAUGGCAUAGACAUGGAUGAUGUACACAUGCAAGGUAAAGGAACUGAUAAUAAAGGCAUGGCUGGUUCAGACCUGAAUGAGUGUAUGGAAUACUUAGAGAUUGUGAAGACGACGUUCAGGACUGAGGAAGAAGCCUACAUGUUCUAUGUAGGCUAUGCGAGAAAAAAGGAUUUGGUGUUAAAAAGGAUGAUCUGAAGUACAGGGGUCCGGGUCCGAAACAAAAUGCAUACAGAAGGACAUACAAGUGUUGCAAACAAGGAUGGCGGGCCCUUAAGCACUUUAACAGAGCUGAAAGAAAAAGAACACCGAGGGGUCUUUCUCGGUGUGAGUGUCCUGAUCUUUUUCAGGUUGAGCUACAAGAUAGCAGUGGCCUCUGGUUCGUCAAGAAUUUUGUGGACAAGCAUAACCAUCUGUUUGUCCAUGCUGACCUGACUCCGUACUUAUCGGCUCAUCGUAGAAUGACUGACGCACAAAAGGCCGAUGUCAUCGAGUAUGCUGUCGGUGGACUUCGAACACAUCAGAUUAUGAAUGUAAUGGAGAAGAAUGCCGGAGGUCCUGACAAGCUUGGAUUUAUAGAUCGAGAUCUAUACAACCAUGUUUUAGUCCAGAAGAAGCGCAAGAUAGAAGGCAGUGACGCUAGAUAUUUGCUCACCUAUAUGAUUGCAGAGAAAAAAGCAGACCCGGAAUUCUUUUUCAAAUACACAAAAGACAGCGAAGGCCAUUUGAGGAACAUAUUCUGGGCUGAUUCACAAUCCCAGAUUGACUAUGUUGCCUUUGGUGGUGUCGUGGUGUUCGACAGUACAUACCGGUCUAACAAGUACAGAUUUCCGUUUGUUCCAUUUGUUGGUCUGAACCAUCACCGCAGCACAGUUUUGUUUGGGGUCGGUCUAGUGUCAGACGAGACAGUUGCAUCAUACCAGUGGCUUCUUCAUGUAUUUUUGGAGGCAAUGUCCCAGAAAGCACCGAUUUCAGCAAUCACCGAUGGGGACGGUUCAAUGGCUAAAGCAAUAGCUACUGUCUGGACUGGAACAGAUCAUCGUUUGUGCACGUGGCAUAUCGAGGAGAAUAUGGUGAUGCACCUCCAUGAGAAAAGCUGGAGGAAUUUAGGGAAUUCAUUUACCGUCGUUGGCAUGUUGAUGAGUUUGAGAAAAGAUGGGAGGCUUAUAAGGUUCGGUUCAAAAUAAAACCAACGGGGAAGAGGUCGUCAUGGGUUAACAGGAUGUACGAGCUGCGACACAAAUGGGCUGCUGCGUACACAAAGGGUAGAUAUUUCCUAGGCAUGAUGAGUAAUCAGAGGAGUGAGUCUCUCAACUCAAGGCUUCAUGUGCACCUGAACAGGAAGAUGCAGCUUGUUGAUUUGUUGCAGCAUGUUGAGCACUGUGUAUCCAUAACGCGUAAGAAUGAAGCAGCAUUAGACGCAGUAGCAACACAUACGAUACCCUUCACUAAGAUGAAUGCACACCCUCUAGAGAUUUCUGCCUCUUAUAUUUAUACAACUGUGAUGUUUCCAAAGGUAAAGCGCCAGAUUGUCGAAGGGACAAAUUGGCAGGUCAUGGACCGGGUAGCAUGUGAUGGUUUGGUCGUGUUUGGAGUUUUGCGCAAAGCCCCAUAUGAUAAAGUCCCAUAUGGAAGGGAUGCUAGAGAAUUGCAAGGUAAGGAAGGUAAGUAUGCUGAGGACUUGCAUGCAAAAAAAUUGGAUGCUAAGGAUCCCAAUGACUUGGAAGGUAAGGAUGAUGAGGACUUGCAUGCAAAAAACUUGGAUGCUGAGGAUCCCAAUGACUUGGAAGGUAAGGAUGCUAAGGACUUGCAUGCAAAAAACUUGGAUGCUGAGGACCCCAAUGACUUGGAAGGCAAGGAUGGUGUGGACUUGCAUGCUAAAAACCUGGAUGCUAAGGAUCCCAAUCACUUGGAAGCUAAGGACAGUGAGGAGUUGGAUGCAAAAAAGUUGGAUGCACAAGGCGUGGAUGCUAAGCCUAUGGAUUUUAUCUACCACGUGACUUGUCUGUUUACAGGAGCAAGACUGGAUGAUGCAGCUUGUAAAUGUAAAAAGUUGGAAAGUCAGGAUUACCCAUGCGCACAUAUAUUCUGCGUUCUGGAUCAUCUUGGUGUACGCACAUUUUCAAAAAAAAUUGUCAAGAAAAGAUGGACAAUGCAUGCCAAGCCAGCGUUCCCUUCUUCGAGGACUGCGAAUACUCAUGUAUGGUCUGAUCACAUGAAUAAGUAUCAUCAACUAUGCAACAUGGCUAGUGACGCUUUAUUCACAGCCGCAGCUAGCGAUUCACACUCAGAACAGGUGAUGGAGCUCCUCCGGAGUAUAUUGGUUGAUGGAGAAAAAACUGAUUUGGAUGAAGGCCAUAAAUCGUUUGUUCCUUUGUCGGCAUACUUCUCUGCUGCUCACGAAUGCUGCACUGAUGACGUGGAAAAUCCAAUCAAAAUAGUUCCAAAAGGCAGACCAACUACCGAAGAAUCGAACAAGAGGAUUAAAUCCAGGCGCGAGCGGAUGAGAGGGAAAAAAAGCAACGAAGUUAGUGCACAUGUUUAUCUCAUUGUUCAUUUCCAUACAUGCUUACAAUGUUAAUAUGUUCUCUCUUUUUCUUCAAUUUACUCAGGAACAAAUCGGGGAAAUCAAAGGUCACAAGGAGGAAGAAGCGAAAAGAGAAAGACUCAGAGACAGAAGAAGACACAGAUUCAGAUAUAGAAGAAGAGGAAGAUUCAAAAAAAGCAACGACGUUAGUGCACAUGUUAAUCUCAUUGUUCAUUUCCAUACAUGCUUACAGUGUUAAUAUGUUCUCCCGGAGAGUGUUCACAUGUUUUUCUUCAAUUUACGCAGGAAAAAAUCGGGGAAAUCAAAUAGCACAAGGAGGAAGAAGCAAAAAAGAAGAGACAGAGUCUGAUACAGAAGAAGAGACAGAGGCAGAUACAGAAGAAGAGACAGAGGCAGAUACAGAAGAAGAGGAUGAUUCAGGUACAAAACAAGAGGAAGAUUCAGAUGCAGAAGAAGAGGGAGAUUCAGAUGCAGAAGAAGAGGGAGAUUCAGAUGAGGAAGAAGAGGAAGAUUCAGAUGCAGAAGAUGGUGGGCUGAGGAGGGCUAGAAAGAGACCAUUGGAGGUUGCAGAAGAGGAUUACACAAAACCAAACAAGUGGGCAUUAGCACAAUUGUGCGUACUUAAACAUGUUUUCGAAUGCUGGCUGCAGAUUCAUCUAUUUCAUUUUUUGCAGGAAACGCAAGGGCACUCCAAAUGUCAAUGCUGGGAGGACAAAAAAGAACAAUGACAAGGGUGCGCGAGGAAAACCAGUGAAGUUAGUGUCUGUACUUACAUGUCCGCUCUAGAAGUCGGGUAUUUGCUAGUACUGUGUUGACGUUUCUUAACUUUUCCAGGAAAAACUCUAGUAAGGGUGGUAAAGAACAGGCCAAAGGGGUGAUGAAGACAAAAAGGCCUGCUAGGAAUGUACCACAGGCUGAGCGAAUAAGAGUUGUCAAGUUAGCUUCUAUAGCUAUGAAGAGAAAAUCAGUGAAGUUAGUGUUUUUUCUGUUAUAGUGUACUGUACAUGCUCAAAUCUUCUUUGCUAUCCUAUUAACAAACGUUGUUUCAUGCAGGAAAGCUAAAGUGAAGUCGAGACAGGAUCUUUAGAUGCACAGGGUCAAGCAGAGAAAACAAAAGGAUUUCUGUGGUCGAAAAAUUGAGAACAAACUAAAGUAGACAGUUUUCCAUGCCGUGAUCCACCUUGUUUCUCAUGUAUUAGACCUAUUUGAUGGAUUGCCACUAUUUUUUGAAUUCCUCGUUUGAUUGGUACACCCUAAUUUUAUUAUGGACGGGUCGACAUGGUAGGCUAGUUAUGAUUUAUCAACAUUGAUGAAACAAUGCAUUUUUAGUGAAGUUGGUUUUCUGUAUUUUUUUUUCAUUUUUUCACAUAAUAUAUUGCUGAAAUUUGUUCAAAGUGUAGUCAAAUUUCAUACUUGAAAUAUAAAAUUGAAACCGAAAAUUUAUAUAUAUAAGAAAAUAGAACGUUAAUAGAAACCUCGUUUUCAAAUAACAUUGAAAAUCGUUUAUUUUCAAAUAGAAAAUAAGCAUACUGAUAUUUUAAAAAUAGCAUGCUCAUUUGAAAAAAGCAUGUUCAAUUGAAAAUAAAAUAUAAUGAAUAUGCUGAUUUAAAAAUAGCAUGUUGAUUUUAAAAAUAGCACGUUACUUUUAAAAUUAUAAUGCUCUUUUCAAUAUGCUACUUUUAAAAUAACAUGCUGAUUUAAAAAAUAUCAUGCUAAUUUUAAAAAUAGCAUGGUACUUUUAAAAAUAUAAUGCUCUUUUCAAUAUGCUACUUUUAAAAUAGCAUGCUGUUUUCAAAAAUAUCAUGCUAAUUUUAAAAAUAGCAUGCUUAUUUUAAAAAUAUAAUGCUCUUUUCAAUAUGCUACUUUUAAAAUAGCAUGCUGAUUUCAAAAAUAGCAUGCUGAUUAAAAAAUCAUGUUCUUUUGAAUAUGUUGUUUUUAAAAAUAGCAUGCUGAUUUCAAAAUAACAGCCUCAUUCUAAAAAUAUAACGCUGUUUUAAAAAAUAUAACGCUGUUUUCAAACUGAUUUCAAAAAUUACAUGCUUUUUUAAAUAUGUUGUUUUGAAAGCAGCGUGCUGAUUUUGAAAACAUCAUAUUUUAAUUACGCUUUUUAAAAGGUAGCAUGUUUUUUAGUAUAUACUGUUUUUCAAAUUAAAAAAACAUCAUUUUGAAAAUAGCAUGCCAUCUCGAAAGUAACAGAAACAUCAUUUUUUGCAUUGCAUUUCGACCCACAAGUUUUUGUUUUGCAUUGCAUUUUUUUGUGCGACAUACAUACAAACCGCAUUUUCAAAAUAACUCAUACUAGCCAACACAAAAACCUCGUUCAAAAAUGAAAGUAGUGUCUAAUCCAUUUGAAACCCGGUUAGAUUUGAUUCUAAAAAUACUAGCAUCACUGUGGCCAAAAAAAGGAAAUAUAAUUGCAGUCCAUAAAAGUAAUUAUAUCAAGGAGGGUACCAGGGUGCGUUAUAUAUAUAGACUUGCAUAGCAAGUACAUUACGCCACAUAGGGUUCAUACUACCACCAAGUUACUGCCAAGUUCCACUUACUGGACGAUCUUCAUAUACAGUCGGACCCAAAAGUUAUACCACCAAAGUACCAGUUACUACCAAGUACCAAUUACUACUAAGUUGCACUUACUGGACCCAAAAGCUGAUAUUACCAACUUGCAGUUACUGGCUAGUACAUACAGAUUAUAAAACUAGCGUCAAACUACUGCCAUGGGUCAACGAAUCCUCAUGCCACUAACCAUGUUCACCCUAAGCCCACCUCCACUCCUUUCCAUGAACCUGAAGAUAGCCAUUUGAUCUUCUUUCAUUCUGGAGCCCUCAACGACUUCUCUCCAGUUCUUCGUCAUGAUCGCAUGCCCGUCCUUCUUGCCCAUCUUGAACAAGACCUUUUUAUUACCUUCAAAAUGUUCGUUGGUGACACGCACAACCAUGGGCUUUCACACAUAAUCUUUGAGGUAGGCCUGACUGUAAUCCUUUGAGAAGCACUGAUUGCACAGGGAAAUAAAUAAUGUUACAUAAAAAAUGAAGUAUGAUUUACACACAAAAAAAGUAAGUAUGAUUUGCACAACCACGCCCGUCCUCCUCUCUGUCUCUACAUGAUGGCAUUUUCACUAGUGAAGUAUGAUUUGCAAAAAGAAAAGUCCAAGUGUUUACCAUCUUGCUCUUCCCUCUGAUGACUGUCGAGCGAGUGACGGUGCUGACAUAGUAUGGUAUGGGAAUGGUAUGGGAGGUUGGCACUGCUUUACUAUGGAUUUGAGACAGUCCCACCGAUCCUCGUUUAGCGAUACAUGGUUGCCGUAGAAGAUGCGAUCCUCGAAAGUUCCUUUCUCACAAGGUAUCCCGGACCUGUAUCAAAAAAAUUAAGAUGACAGAGUAGUAAAUAAUUUCAUACGUAAGAUCUAGAACAUCAGCACUGGGUUAAUGAUCAACGCCUACUCCAAUGAUCAAGAAAUGAAGGACAUAGAUAACCCAAUUACAUCCACCCAGCAAUAUCUCGUAGAAACAUGGGCAAAUUGAAUAUUUGAUUUAUUUAAACUAACAACUAAACACUGCUCUAUGUAAGCUCUAGUUCAGUCAAUGUUGAUUUGGAAGGUCAUCUAGAACCCAAACAGAGUAAUGUGUGGUAAUCAAGUGUCACUCAAACAUCAACUUUCGAUAUUUCACGGUUCAUUUAAUAUCUGACCAGCCAAAUAGAACUUUACCCCGUAGUGCCAAGAUAGGAUUAUGGUCCACAUCUCCAUCUCCAUCAGAACUAUCAUCAGUGUCAUAGUCGCUAGAGGUGUCGUCAUCACCGCUAUAGCCGCCACUCCCACGUGAAGUGCCAUAUGAAGCAUCAUCUGAGGUGGUCCGGUGAUCCCUCUCUUCACUGCUGAUGAGGAUGGUUUCCCUUGCCAUUCAAACCUGUUGCAUGCAUUGCAAUGAACAAAUGUUAGUUAUUGAUAUAUGAAAUCAGUCUUCCAUUAGGACUUGUUAGCACCAUAUACAAUGUGAAUAAUCUUUUCGCAUACUUCUUGCUAAGUACGUAGUUCAUGUAUAAACAUCUACACGAAAAAGCUAGUCGACAACUAUUCGCACGACUAGUCAAGACUAGUGGUUAGACUCAUAAUCAUUGGGCAGACAUAACCAAUUAGGAUAUUUCAAGGUUACCAUUUUGUGAACUGGACAAAAACUUGGUAACCAACCAAUUAGUAGCCAUGUAAAAAUGAACCAUGAUUGACUGCUCUCAUCGAGCAAUACGUGAAACUAUAACUGGUCUGCCUUUGAUCACUGCAAAUUUCCUGAUGGGCUGUUGUGUGGUACCAUCAGGUAAUAAAUAUAAAGUCUUUAAAUUGUCCCAACAAAACAAAUAAUGCAUUUGCUGCUGUACAUAACAUUUUUAGAGGUAGCUGUGGAGGUUAAUUUUCCAAUUUCCAGUGAGAAUAAGGACAUGAUAGAAUCUCUCAAGCAAGAUGACAGCAUAGUGAAGGCUAUGAGAACGAGCAAGGUAUGCUGACCAAUAGUCACCCUUUUUGUAUACUUGCUAUUUAUUUACUCAUUACUACCCAUACCAACAAGUAAAAUCAUGAUUAUGAAGUAUAAUGGCAGAAAAUCCAACAGUGAGGAAUUUGUUGCAAUGUGUACUACUAGCUCAUAGGAAAUUUUCAUUGACCCUAACAAGCCCAUACCAUAUCUUGGAGAUAGGCUGACAUAAUUCAAGCAAGCAGUUACAACAAUCAGCAAAAAUAUGCACCAACCAAAAAUAUUACAUGUGUGCACAUAUCAUCAAAAACAUGCACCAAUCAAGAGCAGUCUAUACUUGACAAAUCCUUCAAAAUAUGCACUAAUCAUCAUACUACCAUCGAGUAAUACAUGAAACUAUAACUGAUCCUCAUUCCAUCAUUAAAAAUUUCCUCAUGGAUUGCUUCUGUGCUCGCCUUUUUAGUUUUUAAUAACUAAGCAUCAGCAAAUACAUAUACACAGUCUUCAAACUAUCCCAACAAACCAAAACAUGUGUAUGCUCCUGUGAAUAUACUUUUUCUAUAUCUAGCAGUGGGGGGCCAUUUUCCAGGGGGAAAAAGUACUUGAUAGCAUCUGUCAAGCAAGAUGAUAGCAUAGUGAAGGCUAUGUCGACGAGCAAGGUAUGUUGGCCAACACCCACCUUUUUCUCUUACUUGCACGAAAGUGUUUACCCAUUACUACCCAUACGAACAAGUAAAACCAUGAUUACGCAGUACAUUGUAAGAUUAUCUUGCUGUAAAAUUACUUGUUGCAAUAUGACCUACUAGUUGACAGUAAAUCUCCGAAUACCCGAAACAUGCACACAAGCAAGUGUCAGAUUUUAGCUUGGGCGGUGCUGCUAGAUCACAAAAAUAAGGUAAGAUCGACAUUCGAAGGGCAGGGAAGAUCAAUCUUACCUGCAAAGUGGUACCAGAUGGGGCUAGAGUAGACUUGUUCGAAGCUGGCACCACCGGAGCUUCGGGCGGCGCGACCAGGAUUGGGGAGAAGAGGUGCCGUUGUCGAACCUUGCUGUCGACGAAGCAGUGGAGAAUCGUGGCCGGAGCAGGGGGAGUGGUGGCCUCGCGGAUCCGGUCGAUUUGACGACGACGGGGGCGGCCAAGGUGACGGCUUGGCAAACCCUAGCCGUCGCCCUCCGCGUCGCCUCUCUGUCUCUGCAAAGAACGAAGUAUGGUGGGAUUGGGAAUGGGGGUGGGGUUGGGGUUGGGGCCAUCGCUCGCUUUUCUCUCUGCCUCCCACUUGUGCAGGCCCACAAAAGGAACAAAGUGUUAGGCUGGAUCAGAUGCAGAUUUGGCAGCUUUACUAAUUCUGGCCAAACAGAAAAGAUCAGCAUGACAACAGGUGUUCUUUUGAAGAAACCCUAAAAAUACACUAUUGUUCAUAUUGCAUGUGGGUGAGUCUUUCAGUACACCAAUUGAUCUUGAAUAAUUUUAAGCACCCCACACUAUAUAUAUAUAAAAAUAAUGGUUAACCAAUAAAAUGGUAAACUAUUAGAAGCAAGGUUACAAAUAUUUGAAAAAAUCAAUAAUUGAAUUGUAUGCACUUUUAUGAUUAAAUUUAAUAAAUGUAACAUUUUUGCAAAAACUAUGAUAAUUAAAAUAUUCAUUGGUAUUUUCAAAAAAAAACAACCGCAAAUGACUACUUAUGCCAACAAGAACUUCUUCAGGGUUUCGUUUAUUCAUCUAUUCUUUGGCAUGCUCGUUCUCAUAACGCCUUCUUCGGACCUUCUCUUUGUCCGACAAAUUCCUGAGAUAUUGGGCUAGCGCCUUGUGUUUCGCCCUCACACCAUGCUUCAUUUGGUAUCCUUUGGCAACUCCUUCGGCGUGCUCAAGAAUACUAACGAAAGCCGGGUCCAGAUAUUUGCAUCAGAACGCGCAACGAUACGCCAUACGCUUAAGCACGUUGCACUGUCCAUUCUGCAAUUCUUCAAGGGUUUUCUGAGUGUGCGCAUCCAUCUCUCCUUCGGAAAUGUCCGCAUAAUCAUGAGAAUAAGGAUGCAAGUUUAAAUUAUGUAUGAUAUAAGCUGCACCAUUGUUUACAGUACCUAAUAUUCCCUAAGUUUCAUACUGUAGUGCCUAUAAAUUAUUUUUAAAGUAAAUAUUUAUUAACUUUGAAAAUUUAAGGAGAAAAAAGCAAUAUCAAAUUGAUAUGAAAGCAUAAAUCAUAUGAUGUACUUUUAAAAAAAUUGUCAAUAAAAUGCACAACCUUUAUGAUGUCUGACUUUUAGCAUAAAACCAAAACGCUCUAAAUUGUGGAGUGGAUCGACCAUUAAUUUCUCAAAGAUUGAUUGAAUAAAUAAUGAUCAUUACGUACCGAUGAUCAACAUUAUAUUUAGAGCUAGAUUCCAUUAUGCCAAUUCAACAAUGUAUUGAUGGUUUAAUGAUUAACCUCUAACCUUAAACUUGAAGACAGAUCUAGGGUUAAAAAAUUAAAAUUACCGUAACGGAAUUACAGUCCAUGAUGUGCAUGUGCUGCUGCUUGUGAUCGACGACGGAGUACUGCACCUCGUUGACACGAUGCUUCUCUGGGUCGGACACCGAGUAGUCCAAAGCUUUCUCGUGGGGAUCCUAAUCCAUGCGAUGGACGACGUUGGUGGUUAGCCCCGCAAGUCCACGAUCUGUCACGACGGUGUCCAUGAUAGGCCCCUCACGUCCAUGGCCACGAUCUGUCACGACGGCCAAUCGACCUCCACGAGUGGAUUUCAUAUCCGGCGGCAGGGAGGCGGGCGUGUGAGCGGCGGCGAUGGUUUUAGAGCGUACCCUAGGGGGAGAGAUGCGGGGAGUAAUUGGUAGUUACCUACUAUAGCGGAAAUACUUAUGAGAAAAAUUGAUUGGUCGGUGUUGGGCACCUUCAAUGCAGCGGCGCUUAUUUAGGCGCUUAAUUAGGAUCCUGGAAAAAAAUCACAAGCGUAGGUGCUUGGGGCAGGAGCUAGGAACUGGAUUUUGUACAUCUACGUGACGCAAUCCAAAGAUCGUGUCCGGGGUGGAUGGGUUGGGGUGAAAAUUGUGUACAUAAACCCUAAUGCUCAAGACUUGUGAAAACAUCAGAUCAAAUUGUCAUCAAGUGAUCUAGUAUUACUUGGAUCGAUACUUUGUGAUCAUCAUGUAGCCACGCCAUAAACACGAUGGUUCUAGUAUUACUUGGAUCAACACCUUAGGCAGCAAACUAGUGCAUUUCCUUUUUGAGUCUCCAUCUUCCUUCUUGAAAACCACAUGUACACACUCAUCAUGUAUACCGUAACACAUUAGAAUCUGUUAACGAGCGCUCACAAGCUUAACUAGCUUCAAAUGAACCUAGCCAAUCAGGGUUUUAUGCUACUUAAUCUAAAUGAGUCGAUGAUUAAUGAGCACGAGUUUAACAAGCAGAGAUGCCAAACCACACACCAAUUAACAUAGUUCUACCUUAGUUCAACACUUCCAUAUAUACAAAAGCAAGCACCACUCAGUAGUACUGGUGCACAUAGUUCGACCAUAAAUGUUCACCAACAAAGUAUAGCAUAGGGUAGUACUUAGCAUAGUUAAAACCAAAAGAGCAUAAGUUCUAGCUGCGAGGGCGCGCACUUCCCUAAAGCCUCAAAGAAGCCUCAUCAAGUACUCGGCAUACGCGGCGUGCUUCACCCUAAAAUCGUAGCCAUUCUUGAUGCUUCCUUGGGAUGUUCCGACUGCAUGGUUGAUGGUACUUCUCAGGUCGCCUUUCAUCAGCUUGUUGCAGUAAGGGCAUCUGUAGCCCCCCUUUCCGAUUCUUGGCCUGACACGUUUCUCGAGCACACCACUGUCCAGCUCCCUCACCUUCUGCCUCCUGUAGAUCCUCUGGGUUUCUUGGUCACUGUCGACGUCGUCACUUAGGACCUACAUGUAGUACCAAAUGUUGCGUAAGUAUAUCUAAUAUGAGAAUUCAGCAGGCACAGAGUCUAUGAAACAUAAUGUAAUUGAUGACAGCGUAAAAUAUCUUCAAAUGAUGUUGAAAAAAUAAAUGCAUAACUUAUUAGUUGGUACAUAAGCAACUAAAUGGGAUAGUACCAUAUACUAAAAAAAUUGAAGGAUCAACCAUACAUGUCGAAGAGAGCACUAGCAUUGCCACAUUAUGCCACACAUUUUUCCCAAGCUUGCCUAUGGUUAGUUCAUCAAAAUGAGAGCCACAAGUUGGCAAGCCUAAGGGAACCUUGCCACACUUUUUGUGUGUAUGCCAUGUGGGACCCAAGUGUGGCUUGCCUAAGGUGUGGCUGGAACCAAACACUCACUUAAGUUGGUCAAACCUUAGGUAUGGCAAUCUUUGGCAAAGUUAGUCACAAACCAAACAGCCUUUAGUGCAACAAAAUUCACUUGUUACGUAAAAAUGCAUGAACUGAUGAUGUAACAUGGCAGAGCAGCAUACAGAUGUACUAAUGCAAAAAAAAGACUUAUAACUUACAUGCAUGACUAGAUAAAAUAGCUCGUGAGCUGUAUCUAUUUAGGGUUAGAAUUUUGUGUGCUUAUGAUGAUGGAUAUUGAAAGUCCACAUGUUAUCGUCGUGGAAGUUUCCCCUGUUGAUCGAUACCCCACCCAUCAAUGUUCCUGAACCAUUCAAUGUUCUAGGUAAAGUAGUUAAUUAUUAUGAAUUCUGACAAUAAGUGAUCCCAAAUGUUGUACUUACAAAAAAGGGUUUUUAUCAUUUAUGCCACCAGUUGUGUCCCACAACUAAGUAUCACCAGUAGGAAUUUCUACUGCUAAAAAAAGCCAUCGCUUCGUUAGACACAUGCUCAAAAAUGCCACUGCACAUCAUUAUUGUGAUAUCAAAUCUAUCUUGACAUGCCAUAAUGGCAUCAAUACGUAUGGACCAACAUGCCAGCUCUCCCUCUAUCUCACUACAAUAAAGUGUGGGCCCACUUGAUCCCAACAGUGUUCUUAUUUUCCUGUAAAAUUAUUCGCUUACUUACUCCUCACAAGUGGGGCCACACUUAUCAUUGUGAGAUAGAGAGAACUGAAAUGUGGGCCAGGGUUUUUUUUGUCAUAUUGGAUGGUCAACAAGUUUUAAAUGAAAAUAACAAUGUCUAAUGGCAUUAUUGAGCAAACAUCUAACGGAAGGAUGGCAUUUUUGAUACAUCUAAUGGCAUUUUUUAGUAAGCAUCUCAUGAAUCGAGGACAUUUUUGAGCGGCUGUAACUUCUAAGGGAAAAAUUGAGUAGUGGGAUACAACUGGUGGCAUAAAUGAUAAAAACCCUACAAAAGAACUAAUUAAAACAACUCAAGUAAAACAUUGAUGAUAUCCAAUUUCUUUCUAAAAUAGCCAUUGCUUAGAGAUAAUCAAUGUUUAAAAUCAUUGCCACAGCCACUUAUGGAAUAUUUAAACCAAAGAUCGAUCAAGUGCAACCAAACAUGUACUCAACAUUUUAAUACCUUAUUUGCCUUGUACUGACCAGAGAAAACCUAGGAUAUUACAAAAUAAAUAAAUAAAGGGGAUAGAUGACUAACCUCUUCUUCGUUCUCGUUGGUGACGACCACAGGUGGGGGCAGGGAAAGCAACAACCGCGGCAGACGAACACCCGGAUGAGGCUGAGGAGCCACCACCUGCUCCGGCAGAGGAGCCAGAGGAGCUACCUGUUCCGGAUUAUUAGCAGAAUAAUUUAUAUAGGUCAAAAAGUGACAUAUACAUGCCUCAAUAAAUGUAAUCUAGCUACACAGUUGCGUAUCCAGGAUUUCAUACUUGGGUGUUCAAUAAUUUAUAUUGCAAACUAAAACCACAACAAUAUUUUUCAAAUGGAGGGAGUAAUAUCUAAAAUUUUCAUGUGAAAAGAUUCUUAGUCCAUCGUAAUGACAGUACCAUGAAUGACAAAAAAUGAAGAUUAUUUACUUCAUGACCAUACAAUAUGACAUUUUCAUAGACAAGGCAUGGUGUUGUUAUCCUUAAGUUGCAGAAAAUAUUUUCACAAUCACCUACGUAGGCAAUUCAAUUCCAAGGUCAAGCUACGUAUUUGUAUUAGCACAGUCACCAAACCUAGGUGGAUUUAUUAGCAGAAUAAUUUAUCUAGAUCAAAAUAUUGCCUAUACAGGGCUCAACACAUGUAACCUAGCUAGUUACCUAACACAUCUACAAAAUAUUGAUAUGGAGUCCAUCGAUCAAAGAUAAAAAGAAACCCUGGCCUUCCCCAAAAAUAGAGAAAAGGACUGACCAGAGCACACCUAGGAUUUUACAAAAAACUAAAGGAGAUAGAUGACUAACUUCGUCUUUGUUGACGUCGCCGGCGACCACACGCUCGGGCACCGGAGGCGUCACCCGCGGCAGAGGAGACACCUGCUCCGUCUGAGGAGCGAGAGCAGCUACCGGGCCCACAUAAAUGGCUGUGCAAGGACAGUUUCAUGCCGGUCAAGUACCAUAUAUAAGAAAUUUCGGCCAAAAAAAUUCGGGUGCAGUACUGUACGUCUGUACCGGUGCUGCUGCUAUCAAAAUUUGGCAUCAACACAUUUUGGAUGCACGAGAACCAUGAGAUCCGAGUGGUUGGUAGAUGUUAAAUAAAGAUAACCUAUACAAUGAGGAGCCGACCCCCACACCCAUGCACCCAUGUGGAUCCGCCCUGAAACCUAACGGAUCUAGCGAAUCUAGGUUGACACCUAGGAUUGGCCAGAGCACACCUAGGAUUUUACAAAAAAUUAAAGGAGAUAGAUGACUAACGUCUUAUUUGUUGACAUCGCCGAUGACCACAGGCUCGGGCAUAGGAGGCGUCACCUGCUCCGUCUGAGGAGCCAGAGCAUCUACCUGGUCCCACAUAAAUAGCAGAAUAUUUUAUAUAGAUCAAAAAAUGUCAUAUACAUGCCUAAACUAAUGCAACCUAGCAACACAACUUCGGAUCCAGGAUUUCAAAGUUGGGUGUUCAAAAAUUAAUAUUGCAAACCAAAACCGCAACAAUAUUUUUCAAACGGCUGAGAUCAAGUUGGCUUUUGAGUCUAGAAGGCAUUCUUCUGCCUCUGCUUCUGUUACUCAAGAAAUUAAAGAGUUAGGAGUAAUAGCUAAAAUGUUCAUGUGAAAAUAUUAUUUUUCCAUCAUACUGACAGUACAGACAUGAAUGACAGAAAAUGAAGAUUAUUUAGUAUGACAUUUUCGUAAACAAGGCAUGGUGUUGUUAUCCUUUACUUGCAGAAAAUAUUAUGCUAAAAAUAAGCAACCAAAUAAUAUAUUUCAAGUAGGGAUGAUAACAAGUCAAUAAUAUUACAGCCUAUGGUAAUUGGACUCCAGGAAUCAAGCAAUUGGUGUUGAGCAAAUUGAACGACAAAAAAUGUGUCUGCUGGAUUAAGCGUAAGAGGCUAGUUUUAUACAAAUUGACAUGAAGUUUAGUGCAUAAACUACAACACUUUUAGUCCAUUUACCAAUAAAAGAACCAUAUAUAAGAAAUUUCGGGCAAAUAAUUUCGGGUGGUUGGUAGAUCUAUCUUAAAAUUUGGCAUCAACACAUUCUGGAUGCACAAGAGCCAUGGAUCGGAGUGGUUGGUAGCUCUUAAAAACAAGAUAACCUAUACAAUGAGGAGCCGACCCCCACACCCAUGCACCCAUGUGGAUCCGCCCUUGAAACCUACCGGAUCUAACGAAUCUAGGUACGGAUCUCAUAGAUGGAAGAAAAGCAGAAACCCUAGCCAUGCCCAAAAAUAGAUAAGGGACUGAACAAGGAAACCUAGGAUAUUUCCUAAAAUAGGACUGACCUCUUCUUCGUCGUCGUCGCCGUCGACGUUGACCACGGGCUGCGGCAGAGGAGGCAGAUGGCGUGGCAGAGGAGUCACCUGCUCUAGCGGAGGAGCCACCUGCUCCGGCGUAGGUGACACCUGCACCGGAGCCUGGACGUGGUCGACGACGUCACGGCCGCCCUGCUGCCGGCUGGACCCCUCGCCGGCGGGGAGGGGUUUCUCCAUGUGCAGCUUCGCACGGCGCUUGGAUGCUUCGUGCGCCAUGGCGUCGGCCCUCCCUCCCAUGGUGCGCUUGGGCAUCUCGACGGCGGAGGUGCAGCGGCGGGAAGGGAGCAGCGGCAGGAAGGGAGCAGCGGCGGGGUGGGCAGGCGAGUGGUAAGGCGUGGGAGGAGAAAACCCUCGUAUUUGUGGAUGGGGAAGAGGACGGGAAGAGGGGGCGGCGAUGAGAUAAAUGCUAAUGGGGAAGCGGAGCGUGCUAUGGGGAAGCGGAGCAGCCGAUUUAGUCCUGGGCAGUCAAAAGGAGUUGUUGCCAUGUUCACACCUCCCCGUGCGUUGUUCACACCAUCACGUCUUGCCACGUCAAAACGUAACUUCUCACUUCUCACUAAAAUGAAUAGCCCGAUCGUGCACAGCCAUGAUUUAGGAGUAAUGCAACUUCCCUUCAAAAAAUUGUGUAAUGCAACUGCUCCCUCAUUACACAGAACAAAGUCAUAUAGUGGGACAACUGAAUUUGUAGGCUUGUUUCAUCUGCACGUGUCAUGUUUUUUAUUUGUCCUAAAAUAUGUUGUAAAACUUUACAGACAAUGGAAUGGCAAAUGGAUGUGACAAAACUUCGUCAGCAACCGCGCGGAUUCGUCUGCCAUAUAUCCGAUGUCCGGUACCGAGGAGGGGAAUGUUGAUCCACGCGAUGCCAUGUGUUUCGUCUGGACCCAUAUCAUGCACCCCGAGCCAACCGGGCCAAAACAUGCGCCGCUAGCCUUCUCGAUCCAAACAACGAGCUAGUGUCCACCAUGCGCAGAGAUGCUCAUGUGGACAGGUUUGCUAGCACUAGUGAAUGACGUCGGAUCUCGGUGUGCAAUAUGUGUAGCCGCAUGUCUCUUUGGCAUGCCUGGCAUACCGAAGGGACUCGUCGAAGGUCCAACGAACUGCGGUGGGGUCAAUGCUGGAUGUAUGGUGUGGGUCAACCUGGCUAACGGUGCAUGGUUUGAGUUUAGGUGGCUAGGUUUGCAUGGCUGGGGGGCUAGAUGGCAAAUGAGUGCGCAUGUGUCAUCUGUACAUUGUCAAGGUUGAAUGGUGGUUGUCUACGUGGCCAUGCGUGCAUGCAUGGUGUGGGUCCAGUUUGCGUUCGGCGCACGGGAUGUGCUUUGGUGGGUAGGGCCCACAACUUGCGGCAUAGAGUUCUGAAGCAGAUGAAGGGGCGGGCCCCGGUCUUCGUCCACAAGCAGGACUUGUUCCCUAUCGAUGGCUAGCUCCGGGAUGCGUUUUGGUCUCGUUUACACACAACCUAUGUGAAGGCUUAUGCGUGCCGCUCUCGAUGUUCGACCACACCCACACCGCGAAAGGUCCCAAUAAAUUUGGAUCCUUCAUGAAUUUGCACGGAUUAUAGUGGCGGCAGACGAGACCCGGCAUUUUUUGCCCUUAACAAUGGCUCUGAGGCGGCCCUGCCCAUUGGUCGCACAUGGCACAUAUAUGGACCAGAGCUUAGCAUGGAACUGUCACCCCCAAUCCCUGCUGUGAUUUCAUGUGGCCGCGGUAUAGAUCCCAAAUUUCCGAGGAUACUGCCCUAGAAAUGCGGCAAAUGUCCCGAAUAUGGCAAGCGCGGGCUCCGAGAAAGGCCGGGACCUUGCAUGCGCUUUUGAAUUGUUCUCCGUUGACCCGAGAGAGAGCAUCGACGAAAAUGGAGGAACAGGCCCGCAUUCAUUGCGCAAACCGGACACGUUACCUCAAGGUAGCUAGAUCCAAACCAUGCACCCCCGCCGUCUAGACCCACGUGGUGCACCACUUAGACACUAGACCCACAUCACUUACGCCGGCCCCCAAUCCAACCAUUCCCCGUGUAGACUCAUAUGUCGCACCCCGCAAAAUAGCUUAGCACAAGACUUCCACCACGAUUUCCACAACAUGCACCACUACACGUAAGUGUCCAAAAAAUGGACUAUCGCAUUAUCAACAUUUUUUCCCUAAACAAGUAAGUUGUUUUUAAAUUUCUUGAAAAUAGCAAGGUUUCUGUUAAAUUAUAAUUUCAUUAGUUACACAUUAUAAUGUGCAUUUUUUGUCCCUCAUAAAGGGGUGCAUUCCUUUUUGUAAACCCACAAAAUUACUUCCUUUCCCUCAAAAAAAGAAUCCUUCUUCACCCUCUCACGAUCACGUUCACGGUGGCCUCGCCCUAUAAUCUAGGAGUGGUCGAUCCAAUCUCCCCACGGGGGACAACUUCCACGCACUAUCUAUCAUGGUUGGUUGCAACCAUCUCGCCAUCACGGUUUUUAUGGGAAAAUCACAUUCUUUUGUUUUUCCUUCCAAAGAUAUGUGGCGAAAAAACAUGGAACAAAAAUUGUAGAAGGCAUGGUGGGAUACGUGCACAUGUUAUCUUUUUGUACUACAAGUGCACUUGUUGGCAAGUUGCAUCUGCAUGUGUCAUGUUUCAUUUUUUUAUUGAAAAUUAUGUUGUACACCUUUACAUAGACGCUUGAAUUAUUGUUUUCGUAUGUUAAUACUUCCUAAAGAAAAAAGUCCAUUUUACUCCCCUGAACAAAGUGGGUGGUUCGCUUUACCCCCUGAUCUUUAUUUUGGCUCCUUCUACACCCCAAACAAAACCAAACUGGACAAAAAAACCCCUGACUGGUUUGUCUCCAUGCGAUGCUGAUGUGGCACAGUCAAAGGGCGGUUUUGACCGCGAUGGGGCCUACUUGUCAGGUAGGACUGUUAUAGAGCUGUCGUUCCCUGUUGCGAUCUAGAUCAGAAAUCCCCCACUUCCCAGUCCAAAUCCCUAACCCUAUUCUCCAUGGGCGGCGGCAGCGUGAGCUCCAGCACCGUGUCACCAGACGCCGUGAGCACCGCCGACGGUCGAGGCGCGGCCCCGGUCAUCGCAGCAGCCCCGGCGAGCCAACAUAUGACAAUUGCUUGUUUGACUUCUCAAAUUGGCCAUUGUAAAAAAAACGGAUGCCUAACCAAUCUAGAUUAUCCAUUGCUUAGCCUACAGAUUAAAACAACAUCCAAUCUUCAAUUAGAACCUACAUACAGCAGCUAACUAGAGCAGAGCAAGUACACCAAGGGAAGGGGAUUGGAGGGAUGGGACUCACCUCAGUUCGUCUGCGCCGCCGUGAAAUCAGACAGACCGCAGCAGCAGCCGCCGCAUCGAUAGAGCCGUCAACUUAGGGUUUGAGGACGGGGGAGGAUAGCGGCCGUGGGAGAAGGAACAGGUCGGGGAAGAUUCACGGGUUGCACCGCCGCUGCCGCCACCACCAACACUCCGAGCACCGUUGCUGGUCGGAGUUUAGCGCCGCCCCGAGGGAGCCAUCGACGGCGGCAUGGGGGAGAAGAAGAAAGGGAUUUCUGAUCCAGAACGCAACGGGGAACGGCAGGAAUAUUACAGUCAACCUGAAAAGUAGGCCCCACCGCGGUCAAAACCGCCCUUUGACUGUGCCACAUCAGCAUCGCACGGAGACAAACCAGCCGCGGGGGUUUUAUGUCCGGUUUUGUUUUGUUUGGGGUGUAGAAGGAGCCAAAAUAAAGAUCAGGGGGUAAAGCGAACCACCCACUUUGUUCAGGGGAGUAAAAUGGACUUUUUUCAUUCCUAAAUAUUGAAAUUCAGCAUGCACAUAACACAUGGCUUCCAAGCUCAGUGACCGCUUGGAUUCGUCUGGUAUAUGCCCGCUGUCUGGUAUUGGGCAGGGGAAUGUGGAUCCAUGCGAUGCCAUGCGUUUCAUCUGGACCCAUGUCAUGCACCCCCAACCAAUCGGGCCGACAUCAUGUGCCGCUAGGCUUCUCGAUCCUAACCAUGCGCUAGUGUCCACCAUGGGUAGAGAUGCUCAGGUGCAUAGUUUUGGCUGGCACUAGUGAAUGACGUCGUAUCUCGGUGUGCAAUAUGUGUAGUCGCGUGUUGCUUGGCUGACACUAGUUUUGGCUGGCUAGGUGUGCAUGGCUAGGUGCUAGAUGGCUAAUGAGUGCGCAUGUGUCUUGUGUACAUUGUCAAGGUUGACCGGUGAGUGUCUACUUGGCCACGCGUGCAUGCAUGGUGUGGGUCCAGUUGGCGUGCGGUGCACGUACGGGACGAGCCUUGGUUGCUAGGCGUGCAACACGGAGUUCUGAAGCAGAUGAAGGGGCAGGCCCUGCACACCGUUCAUAGGCCAGACUUGUUUCCUCUCAAUGAACAAUGGCUCCGAGGCGGCCUUUCUCUUUUGUGGCACAUGGCCCAUAUAUAUGGACCAAAGAGCUUAGCAUGUGACUGUUACCCCAUUCCCUGCUAUGAUUUCAUGUGGCCGCGGUAUAGAUCAUGAAUUCCCGAUGAUACUACCCUAGAAAUGCGGCAAAUGUCCCGAAUAUGGCACACGGGACCCAAGAAAGGCCGGGACCUAGCAUGCUUGUUUGGAUUGUUCUCCGUUGACCCGAGAGAAAGCACCGAUGAAAACGGAGGAACGGGCCCGCACUCAGUGCGCAAACCGGAUGCGUUACCUCAAGGUAGCUAGAUCCAAACCAUGCACCCCCGCCGUCUAGACUCACAUGGUGCACCACUUACGCAGUAGACCCACACCACUUACACCGGCCCCCAAGCCAAGCAGAUCCCCCUCGGGUAGACUCAUAUGUCGCACACCACAAAAUAGAAUUAGCACAAGACUUUCACCCCGAUUCACCAGGUUACUACCUUGUGCACCCCUAGCCAGCAUGAUACACUGCAUGCACCUAGAGCCACCUGGGCCCACAGCAUGCACCACUACACGUACGUGUCCACAAAACGAACUAACCCAUAAUCAACUUUUUUUGCCAAAACAAUUUAGUUAUUUUUAUAAUGGCUUGAAAAUAGCAAGGUUUAUGUUAAAUAAUAAUUUCCUUAAUUACAAUAAGGUCCAUUUUGUAACCACACAAAAUUCCUACCUUCCCUCGAAAAAAAGAAUUCUUCUCUCACGAUCACGAUGGCCUCACCCUAUAAUCUAGGAGUCGAUCCAAUCUCCCCACGUGGGCCAAGUUGCACGCAGUAGAUAUUUUUGGUUGGUUGCAAAUUUCUCUCCAAAACGGUUUAUUAUGAGAAAAUCACCUUAUACUUUUUUACUUCCAAAGACAUGUGGCGACAAAAGCAUGGAACAAAAUCGUAGGAGGCACGGUUGGAUACGUGCACAUGCUGUCUUUUUCUACUACAACUGGACCUGUUGGCAAAUUGCAUGUGCAUGUGUCAUGUUUCAAUUUAUCUUGAAAAUUAUGUUGUACACAUUUAGAUAGGCGAUCGAAUUGUUUUUUCAUAUGUUAAUAAUCCCUAAAUAUUGACCACGUGACACAUGUGGUAAGCAAUCCAAACAAUUCAAAAAAAUCCCUAAAUAUUGAAUUUAAGCAUGCUCCUAGAAAUUAUCAGUCAUAGAACCAACAUCUCUUUCGUAGAGAUUAAGGUACUUCCACAUUAAAUCUAAUACAAUAAAUUCAAAGGAUCAACUUAAUACAUUAACAGCACAUAGGGAUGUAGCCCAGGAAUCCAACGAGUAGAGAGAAAAGGAGGAACAAAAGCUGGAAGAAGAAGGAUCAGCCAGCAGCAGCGCCAUCAGCCUCCUAGCCUCACAACUCCAGGUCUCCAGCCUUGUGAACUCCAGUUUUUUUCCUGUGAAACACGAAUGGCAAAGUUGCUGUUACAGGUUAGGACUUAGUGAAAAUUACAGUUAUGUUGAAACAGUUAUAAUGACAAACAGUGUUGACAUGAUGGUUACAACAAGCAAACAAAACCAAGCUCACAAGUGCAACUUACUUUUAACAUCAAAAAAUUAUAUUAACAUGGCCACUUUAGAGUAAGAUUUUACCAUGCAACAUAAACUUGUCAUAGCAACAAAAGGCAUGGCAUGAAAGUAUUGACAACAUAAUGCAAAUAAAUUUUAGGAAGCAUGGCCAUAGAAGUUAUAUUUUUAGUGGCAACCUUCAAGCAAAGUUGCAUAGUUUUAUAACAGAAAGGGCUGCUGUUAUUGGUAGAGGCACACUGAGGUUGGCUAGCCAUCGAGAAUGACCAGUGGGCCAGGGGCCACAUGACUGGGAGCAUUUGUGUGUGCGUGACUACCAUGGGACCCGGAUGUCAGUGGCUUACUUUGAAAACAAAAGGGGGGUUCAUAGUUUAGUGGGAACCAUCAAGCAAAUUCGCAAAGUUUUUAUAGCUGACAGAUUUAUACUUGCUGAGAUGCACAGAGUAAAAUGAUGGCAUGUUGGAGGCAAUCAAUAAAUAUGCUACAUGGCUUGUCAUGGCAUAUAAUUGCACAGAAUGCUAGUACAAAUCAUGGAGAACAAGACAUGCAACAUGAGCAUCUCCAUAAGAGUUGGUAGCUCUACCAAAAAGCAAUCAACAACGCAAAAAAAAGGUUCAAAUAUAGUAUCAAGCACUUAAUAAUAGAAAGACACAUAACAAAUUUUUGCAGUAGAAGUGCAGGUGAACAUCAAAUACUACCACUACAACAGUACAAAUUUAGCCUGGGGUUCAUAUACAUCAUAAUCCAGCCCCCAAAAGCAUGUACUCAAUCACUACCACCACAACUGUAAGCACGAGCAGUAGGAAGAUAAGGAGUGGGGAAGCUUACUCUAAACAACGGUACCACCGCCAUUCAGGCGAGGGGAGCGGCGAAGGAAGCGUGGAGAACGGCGGGGAAGCGAUGUCGCGACCAUUGUCCUCCUCCUCUUGCGCUUCGGAGUCAUCUCCGACUCGGUUGGAGGCUCCACAAUCUGCAACGGCACCUCGUGCACCGUGGGUUCCUGAUCCGGUGGAUGCUCUACCCUGGAUCUGAACGCCCAUCACCUGCGCCUGUCCCACGGGUUGGACGAAUUUGCCUGCUCCAUCGCCCACAGGAGGAUCUCGAUGUCGUGCCUCGGUUGUGCGGGCGGGGGAAAAAGCUUUUUAUUCUCCCUGGAUGUCAUUUCCCUCAAAGUGGCCAUUGCCGUCUAGUUCAACUGCCUUAUGUUGUUAAACCAAGAACGGAUCUCCAUCAACCUGGCCAUCUUUACCUGGUCGCCGCCGGCGAUCUCCACGAAGUCGGCGUUCUCGGCGCUGGCGAUCUGCUCCUCCAUCGAGGUUCUUACGUGGAUGGAAGAAGGAGGUGGGAUGUGUAAGAGGAGACGAGCAAAGUUGCGGCCGCGAGAAGGAGGAGAAGGAGAGGGAGGAGAUGUCGCGGUUGUAAUGGCGAUGGGUGAGGGGAAGGACGAUGGCGGCGGCGGUUCUGCAUUGGAUGAGAGGGGCGGCGCGUGAUUGUUUUCUUCCUAUGACCUUUUUUGAGACAAUUUUUUCCUAUGACUAAAAUGCCAGAGAUUAAAACGGUUCCAAAAAAGCCCAACCACUGUAAAAAAAAUUAUAAUAAAUAUAGAUAAUUCGGGCCAACCAAAGCCCACAACAUGAAUUAAUAGUAUGCUUACAACUUAAAUAACACCAAGACAAAUAUAGAUAGAUAGAUUUUUUAGCUAAAAAGAUAGAUAGAUAGAUAGAUAGAUAGAUAGAUGGCCGCCGCUUCUCCACCAGGCUCCUCCUUGAUCCUCCUCCGGGCGCCCUUCACUGCUCCUCCCCGGUGUUGUUGAUGGGGUAUGGCAGAGUGUGCAUGCGGUCGUCGGUGGGGAAGACGUUGUCGUAGUCCGUGAAGAUGUUAUGGGUGGUGAAAGCUAUGAACUCACAGCAACACCAGAACACGCGGCUGAGGAGGUAGAACGCGUCGAAGGGGUUGGUGAAGUGGGCAAGGAUAGCAACCACAACCCCGUUGUGGAUGACCUCCUCGACUCGGUAUAUCCUUGGAGAUCCCCGAGGGAGGUGCCCGUAGCCGGCCCGACGGAAGAAGUCGGUGAGCCCCUUGCGCCCCUCCACCUUGACAUCGCCCACACACGAAGGGUGCUCUCGACGUACACCCCGGCGGGGUAGAGCAUCUCCGGCACGGUGGAGGGGAAGCGGUAGGUUGGCCCGGUGUACUGCAUGGCUGCGGCGGGCUGGUUCUUGGGGCUGUUUGUGGUGAAGAAGAAGAAGGGCAGGCGCAAAAUGCAGGUGGGAGAGUAUGGGAGAUGGAUGAAGGGUGUGAGAGGAAGAGGAACAUGAUAGGUGGCUUAAAUAGCCACCGUGGCAGUAAUGGGGUCAAAUGUGAACAAAUUUUCCACCCACCGCGGCAUCGGGAGUGUACACGCAUGGGAAACUGUAGUGUGAAUCAAAAUGCGAAGUUUAAGUGCUGGCCUAUGUGCCGUCGGUCGGGUCAACCGGGGACGGCUCUGCUGCGCGUGCUCCUUCGCGUAUGUGCACGCAUGCAACGUAGGCUGAAGGGGACGCAUGCAUGCAACCGCAUGCAACGUAGGCUCACUCGGGCGCAUGCAACGGCGGCGGACAUCGCUCGGUCCAACGGGUGGGCUUCUUUACACAGCCCAAUGACACGAUGCAUGGCAGCCCACCCUCGAGCGCAGAAAAAAAAACAGGCGCAGAAAAAUAACGUAAAUAUUAUAUCAUUUAUCGACGCAAAAGCCCUAGAUAAUCCUUACAACGUCAAAAAGCUACGAAACUUGGCAAUGAUGCUAGUCAUGUUGGUACAAGGUUGUUGGUCCACUUCAAGGAUGUCGACAAAAACAUGCUUCGAGACGGACCCUUCCCGUCCCGAAAGGCCUCCCAUGAAGCAGGUUCAGAAUGACACCGAAUGUUGCCAGGAUGUAAGUCCAAUGAGAUCAACACUUGUUCAUGUUGGCCAAUGUGGGACUGACCGUCGAAGGAGAUAAAGAUUGAUACUUGUUCAUGUGGGCCCUUUUUUUUACAUUUGGUGUCGAUAGAACACAAAAAACAAACAUGACUAUAUGCUUUUAGGUCUUCACCCUCCCCAAUUUGUUGGCCAACUCAACAUGUUUUGCCUUAAGAUGCCACCUCUUUCUGUAAGCUGCAAUUGCUGUUGUUUUGGAAUGCUGGUUCUCUUUCCUGCAGAACGGGCAUUUAUAGAGACCGUUACGCCGGUACACAAUCUUUGCAGCCAUGAGCCACUUGAAGAUUUUCUUUCUGAAAGCUUCCCUCAGCUGUAGGUAGUUCUCCCAUUCUUCCAAAUCUGCAAUCUGGUAUUAGAAGAAAAAAAAUCUCAUGCCAGCGAAUUGUACAUUAUAUCAAAGGAAGGCAUAAAUGGAUUGUUUUUUCUUUGUAUUGGUUUCCUAAAACUUUGUUAUAUGAAAGACAGGCAUAAAAUGGAAUACAAAUGAUCCAUUCAUCUAAAUUUGCAAACCCUAGGACUGAUAACCGUACGAUUAAUCAAAAAAAAGGCGAACAGUACGAUUGUCUAUACAAAUAGCGAGGAAUAACAAGAGAGCAAUUUCUAGGGUUAACCUCGAGAAGGCAAAUUCUAGGGUUAAUAUCUGCAGACACUAACUGAUUCAUCGUCGUUGGUACUGUGUUGGACCAGCUGCGGCUGCGAAUCGGCGGCGACGACGUCCUUGUCGACCACUUCCUUCAUGGGGUUCACAUCCGCUGCACGGAGCGCACCAGCCACGCACCCUCCCCCGGCAGGUAGGAUCAUCCUCGCCGGCAAGAAUGUGGGCUUUUUGGCGGCGGCGAGUAGUGGGCGGCAACGAAGACGUGGGUGGAUAGGCAGAGGCGAUCGAACGCUGGAGGCGGGAGCGAGAUUUGGGGAGUGAAAAUUCAAUUUGUUUGGGAGAGAGAGGCCAAGGCCGCGCACAAUUCGUCACUUUUGAAAUUUAGGUAGAAACAUGCACGUAUACGGCAUCAUGCACACCCAGAGAUUUGCCCGAACCAACCAAUCAACCAACCAAGUAAAAGAAAAGGUGCACAAUGUCGGUCCACAAACGUGGCAACAUAAACCGAACACCAAAAUAGUGUGUUAAAAAAACAGCAAAAUAGGAGGGACAUUUUUUUGUUUUGCGCAGUACUACUAAAUACUAGGAGGGAGAACUACUGAAAAAAAAUACUAGAAGGGACAGUUGGCACAUUUAAUUUCACAUGGCCUCUACUAGCUUUUUUGUUCAUCGCUAGCUAUGUUGUACCGAUUAGGUAAAAUGAAUGGAUAAUUAUUAAACCCUAGCUAUUGUCAAGGUUUAUCGGUGUGUGUCUACGUGGCCAAGUGUGCUUGCACGGUGUGGGUCCAGGUGAGUGUGAUGCACGGGACGGGCCUUUGUGCUUAGGGCCCACCUGAAGCGGCACCGAAUUUUGAGGAAAGUGAAGGAACGAGCCCCACACACCGUCCGCAUGCCGGACUUGUUCCCUCCAAUUGGCUAGAUCCAACAUGCAAUAUGGCCUCGUUUACACUUACCCCGCGUGAGGGUUUAUGCAUGCCCCUCUCGGUGUUUGACCAUACCCUUCAUGGGUCAUAUGAUGAGACCACGCUAGGCCCCGUGAUGCACCGCCUAGGCACAAACCGGGCGCGUUACCUCUCGGUAGCUAGAUCCAAACCAUGCACCCCCGUUGUUUAGACCCAAGUGGAGUAGCACCUAGACACAUGACCUGCGACACUUGUGCCAGCCCCCGAACCAUGCAUCCCCGCCGUGUAGACUCAUAUGUGGCCAUGUGUGCAUGCAUGUUGUGGUUCCAGCUGAGUGCGAUGCACGGGACGGUCCUUGGUUACUAGGUCUAACAUCACGCGGCAACGAGAUUUGAGGCAAAUGAAGGAAUGGGCCCCGCACUCCCUUUACAGGACGGACGCAUUCCCACUCUGUGGCUUGAUCCAGCAUGGGAUAUGGCCCCAGUUGCCCACAGCCUACGUGAGGGCCUACGCAUGCCGCUCUCGAUGUUUUACCACACCCUCUAGGGGUUGUAUGAUUACAAUUGCGCUAGGUCCCGUGAAUUUUUGGCCCCUCGAUAAUUUGCAUGGAUUAUAACGGCAGCUGAUGAGCAUCAUAGCCUAGAGAACGGCGUCGAGGCCACCCCUCCCUUUGGUAGCAUAUGGUGCAUAUAUGGACCAAAGAGCUUAACAUGGGGCUUUCAUCCCAAUCCUUGCUAUGAUUUCAUGUGGCCCCCGUAGAUCUUGAACUUUCGAUGUUACAACCCUAGAAAUGCGGUAAAUGUCCCGAAUAUGGGAGGGAGGGGGGGAGAAAGGCCACGCAAUAAACGAUCCCCAUAAUUUUAUGUUUGUUUUAUCUGGCAAGACAAACAAGUUUUUUAAAAUAAGGAUUUUUAGCAUGUUUUAAUAAGGAUUUUAUAAUUUCACAUUAUAAGGUGCUUAUUUUUUCCUAAAACAAAUGUGUUGUAAAGGCACAAAGCUCCACAUUGAGCCUCUCACCAUCACGUUCACGUUGAACUCACCCUAAAAUGAAGGAGAGGUAGAUCGAAUCUCCCCAUGGGGGGCAACCUCCACCUACUAGCUAAAUAUGGUUAGUUGAGAAUUUCUCCCCAAGUCGUUUUUUGAGGCAAAAUCACAUUCUUUUUUUUUCCUCCAAUACUGUGGCGAAAUACAUGGAAGAAAAAUCGUGGGAGGCAUGGUGGAACGAGUGCACCUGUUUUCCCCCUCCAAAAGUGUACUAGUUGCCAUAUUUCAUGUGAACGUGUCACCUGUACAAACAAUUGAAUUGUCGUUUUUAUUUUGUUAACAAUUCCUAAAUAUUGAAUUUCAGCAUGCACCUACCCCAUGUCAGUUAGGUCAAAUUUGUUUUAUCCAAGCUCCGCCAGCGACCGUGCAGAUUCUUGUACCAUGCACAUGCUGCUCCGGGCCUCUGGCGUCCGGUACCGGACAGGGGAAUCUAGAUGUGAUGCAAUACAAUUCAUGUUGACCCAUAUGAUGCACCCUUAGCCAACCAAGCCGACAACAUGCACCUCUAGCCACCUCGAUCUAGACCAUGCAGUAGUGUCCACGAUGGGCAAAGAUGCUCAGUUGGACAUGUUUGCUGGCACUAGUGCAUGAUGCCCAAUCUCGGUGUGCAAGACGGGUAGCCAUGUGUCGCUUUGACAUGCUUGGCUUACGGAGGGAGGGACUGGUUGGAGAACUAACGAACCGAGGUGGAUGGAUGGUGUGGGUCAACUUGGGUAAAGGGGAACGGUUUGAGGCCAUUUGAACAAUGUAUGCCAUGGCUAUGGUCAUGAGCUACCUCACUUGCCUUACCACGAAAUUUUUCAUAAGGGGACAGUGUAAACCUAAAAAAUUUGAGUUUUAUUUUUGGAUAUCCUGUUUGUUACAUUUAUGGCAUCGUGUACAACAAAUUUGGGGUUAUUUUGGAGAUGGUCAAAAAAAUCACUUCAUUACAGACGGACCGUUUGGUCUCACUUAAGCGAGUUUUUCUAACAAGGUGGUUUUUUCGACCACAUCCAAAUCACCUGAAAUUUUGUACACAUGAUAUUUUCAUAAACAUAGACAGCAUUUGAAAGUUUUCCAAUUUUUUUUUAGAAUUUUAUAUAAUUUAUAGUGGCUCAGUGAAACUCAGGUACAUACCUCUGACUUUACCCUAAGGGGAUAGUGUAAACUUCAUUAUUGCUGAAUUUUCUUUGAUAAUCAUGUUUAUUACAUGGAUGUGACUGUGUAAAAAAAAUUGGGUGAUUUGGAAAAGAAAAAUCCCACCAACUAAUAGGAGAUAUCAAACCCCACGGCCUGCAUACGACUAGAAACCCAACCAUAUGGGCCAGGAUGCAGGCCCGUGGGAUGUUGAUUUCUCCUACUAGUAGGCCCCACAGGGCAUACACAGAAGUGGAUAGGGAACGUGCUGUUUCAGUGAGAGACGCUCAUGCAAUUGGUCUCUCAGCCGCGUAUAUAAGUAGGUGCGUGCGCGUCUCGCUUGGCGAGGUGGGACUAAACUCCCACCACCCGUCAGCUGCGCCCGGUGCGUCUCAGCGUUGGGCCAAAUUUUGUUGGGCUGUCCCAGGCGAACCUCACCCGCGUGCUGCACCACGCGUCCCUGUAGAUGGUUGGGCUGGCCCAUCAUGUAUGCAUAUCCUUUUUAUUUUUUCUUUUUCACAUAUUCUCUUUCAUUUAUUAUUAUACAGUUCUAAAACAAAGGUUGUUGUAAACGCACAAAACUCCUUCUUCAGCCUCUCACCAUCACGUUCACGUUGAACUCACCCUAAAAUCAAGGAGAGGUAGAUCGAAUCUCCCCACGGGGGACAACCUCCACGGAGUAGCUAAAUAUGGUUACUUCAGAUUUUCUUCCCAAGUCGUUUUUUGAGGGGAAAAUACAUUUUUCUUUUUUCCUCCAAUAUUUGUGGCGAAAUACAUGGAACAAAAAUCGUGGGAGGCACGGGGGCUACCUGUUUUUCCCCUCCAAAAGUGCACUUGUUGCCAAAAUGCAUGUGAACGUGUCAUAUUCCACAUUUUCCUUAAUACAUGUUGUACACCUGCACAAACAAUUGAAUUGUCGUUUUCAUUUUGUUAUCAAUUCCUAAAUCUUGAAUUUCAGCAUGCACCUAUCCCAUGGCGUCUCAUCCAAGCUCCCACAUCAACCACGCAGAUUCUUCUACCAUGCAUGUGUGCUGCUCCGGCGUCCGGUACAAGAGAGGGGAAUCUUGAUCCGAUGUGAUGCGAUUCAUGUCUACCCAUAGCAUGCACCGCUAGGCAACCGGGCCGACAACAUGCACCGCUUGCCGCCUCGAUCCAGAUAAUGGUCAAAGAUGCUCAGCUGGACAUGUUUGUUGGCACUAGUGCAUGAUGCGCCAAUCUUGGUGUGCAAGACGUGUAGCCGUGUGUCGUUUUAACAUGCUUGGCAUACCGAGGGAAGGGACUCGUCGGAGAUCCAACGAACCGAGGUGGGGUCAAGGGUGGAUGGAUGGUGUGGGUCAACUUGGCUAAAGCCUUACGGUGGGUGUCUACGUGGCCAAGUGUGCAUGCAUGGUGUGAAUCCAGCUGUGUGUGAUGCACUGGACGGGCCUUUUUGGAUAGGGCCCACAUGAAGCGGCAACGAAUUUUGAGGAAAAUGAAGGAACGGGCCCCACACUCCGUCUGCAUGCCGAACUCGUUCCCUCCAUUGGCUAGAUCCAGCAUGCAAUAUGGCAUGCCUUCCACAUAGCCCGUGUUAGGGCUUAUGCGUGCCGCUCUCGGUGUUUGACCACACCCUUCAUGGGUCAUACGACGAGACCACGCCAGGCCCCGUGAAGCACCGCCUAGACACAAACCGGACGCGUUACCUCUUGGUAGCUAUAUCCAAAGCACAUGCAGACCCGCCGUCUAGACCCACGUGUGGAGCAUCACGUAGACGUUUAGACUCAUACGUGGACAUGCAUCCCCUUGGUAGACGUUUAGACUCAUGCGUUACCUCUUGGUAGCUAGAUCCAAACUGGACUCACACCACUUACGCCAGUCCCCGAACCAUGCAUCCCCGCCGUUUAGACUCAUACGUGGACAUGUGUGCAUGCAUGUUGUGGGUCCAGUUGAGUGCGAUGCACGAGACAUGCCUUGGUUACUAGGUCUAACAUCACAUGGCAUCGAGAUUUGAGGCAAAUGAAGGAACGGGCCCCGCACUCCUUUCACAGGCCGGACGCAUUCUCUCUCGAUGGCUUGAUCCAACAUGCGAUAUGGUCCCGUUUGCACACAGCCUAUGUGAGGGCCAAUGCAUGCUGCUCUCGAUGUUUUACCACACCCUCUAGGGGUUGUACGAUGACACCACACCAGGUCCGGUGUAUUUGUAGCCCCUCACGAAUUUGCAUUGAUUAUAACGACAGCAAACGGGCAUCAUAGCCGUAGAGAACGGCUUCGAGGCCACGCCUCCCGUUGGUAGCAUAUGGCACAUAUAUGGACCAAAGAGCUUAACAUGGGGCACUCAUCCCAUUCCCUGCUAUGUUUUCAUGGUGGCCGCAUAAGAUCUUGAACUUUCGAGGUUACAGCCAUAAAAAUGCGGUAAAUGGCCCGAAUAUGUGAGGGGGGCGAGAAAGGCGACGCAAUUACCUACCCCCAUUAUUGAAGUUUGUUUUUUCUGGAAAGAAACAAUUUUUUAUAAAUAAGGAAUUUUCAGCACUUAUUAAUAACGAUUUUAUAAUUUCACAUUGUAAGGUGCAUUUUUUUCUCUAAAACAAAGGUGAUGUAAACGCACAAAACUCCUCCUUGAGCCUCUCACCAUCACGUUCACGUUGAACUCACCCAAAAAGGAUUUCCCUCUUUUUUACGAUUUUCCUUUGUUUUUGUUUUUUAGACAAAAGGAUUUGCUUUGUGUUUUUUUAUUAGUAACAUAGGGUUUUACUUUGUGACUGGUAAGCGGCCUGUGGGCCUGUUUGGUUGUUUCUUUACGAACUGGACCCACGGGCCGUUAUUUUCUGUGCUUGACACGGAUAGGGUCCGUGUCAUCACCCCCAUCGCCCACACACCCCCGCUCCCCUCACCCCCACCCUCCCCACAAACCACCCCGCCGCGACCCCGCCGCCUACUCGCCUGGCCCCUAUCGACGGUUGGAGCAGAAGAGCGCAGAGUGAGAUUUGGAGGCCGCCAGCAAGCACCUAGCGACUACCGGCGACUAGGUGAAGUGAGAAACCAUAACUUGUAAUCUUCGACUUCUUUAUUCCUUGUUGUGUUGCCGUUUCGGAGUUGGAUAUGGUUUUCAAAGUCAGAGAUUAGAUAGUUAGGAUUUUUAAAUCAGAGGUUAGGUGGAAGCCGAUGCAGAGAUUGAAGGAAGUUUUCUACAUCGGUGGCUAGCUGAGUAUUUUUUCUAGGGUUUCGGUAUUCCAGGGUUUUCAUAACAAUGAACAAGUGCAGAUGCGUGACACAAUAGCAGCAAAUUUCAGCAAACAGUCCUUUAAAAACUUUAAAAAAUAUUGGCCUUGUGAAGUGGCGAAUCCAGGAAGAAACCAGAGGGUGGGCUCAAAACCUAUAAGCUGCGCUAGUGGAUUAAAUUCCUUUUUAGGCCGAAAUUAGGUUGGGUUUAGUAAGGCAGCCAUUAACCUGUAGUCCUAGAUUGCAAGUCAACUAAACAUUUCUCAGAAUAAUAUUUAGUGAAGUGUUUUUUUUUGCAGAAUAUGAAAUUUUGAUCCAAAUAUUUGUAUCUUUGUAGGGAAAUAACAAUAAACUCUUAAUUUUGUUGCCCAAAUUAGUUCAUAUAUUAAAGAUUAUAAAUGUGAGGGCGUACAAUAUAUCAGAGUUUUUAGGAAUUAUUUUAGUCUUUAUUUUGUGUGGUUAUGUAGUACCAGGAAAAAGUGAAGUAAGUUCAUUUUCUCCAACAUGACAGACAGGUGGCUAAUUGAGUUGGUUACCCUGAUGAUCCUUCGUCCGUCCAGAACAGAUUUUCUUUUCCUUUUCAAGGAACAUAUUGUUGGAUGCGGAUGUAUGUAGAUGGGUUGUAUGUUGAAGGUGUGCGUGUGUACAUUCGGGUGGGCCGAGUAAUAGCAGUAGUAGGAUUUAUGUUUUCAUAGGACUUUUCUCAGAGAUUACUGCUUAGUCUUGGACACUACCUCAGUUAUGCUGCAGAGGAGGAGGGGCCAAUGCCGCGCGUUGACGGUCGGGGUGAGUCCAUGCUGCCUGUCGAGGAUGAAGAGAAGGACAUGUCUGAACAAGCUGUGGUGCGGCAGGCACGCGCUGCGUUGCGGGGUUAUGAGGAGUGGACGGCGAGCCACCCGCUCAGUUCAAGUGUAUGAUUGUUGAUUACUAAUGCAGUACCUUCGUUGAUUAUACUGUAUGAUUGUUGCCUAGUGUCUUUACAUGCAUAAGCCCUUUUCUUAAAUUCUCAUCCUUUGCUUUUCUUCAUUUUAUUUUGUUUACACAGGUGGUGUGCAUAACCUGUCGACAGGACUGCAACAGGCCCAAUGAAGAUGGGUUGACAUUUACCAUCCGGCUAGAUGGGGACACUUCAGCUCUGGUAUAAAUAAUCAUGUCAAUUUUUACUUGUAUUGUGUAUGUUCCCCUCUACUUUGAAGAUUAACAAUAUGUAGGAAAUAAAUAGCAAUUAAAUUCUACAUCUACAGAUCAUGCCAUGCUACGCAAGGCACCAGUUCAGCGCCAUCCCAGAUAGUUCAUUGCUUUUUCAAGCGAGAAAGAGCCGCAUGUAUGAUUUUGGUGUGUACAAAGGGAAUUCAAGGGCGAUCAUCUGUGGUGAAAACUGGUGCAGGUUUGUUGAAGACUUCGACCUGUGAGAAGGCGACCUUGUCUCCUUCGAUUUGACUGAAGACAUUCCUAUGGUGUACUGCUGCAACCAGACAAGGAAAUGCGAUCAAAACGAAGAGCGUAAAGAUCCUCUAGAAUUAGCUGUCAUAACGAAGGGCAUUAAUCUUACGAAGCAAGAGGAGCGUAACCUACAUGACCUUUUGGCGAUGAAGAAAGGUUAUAUAGGCGCAUUUUUUGUCCACCGCUUCACCAAGUCGAACAUAGCAGGAAAGACGAUGGUAUGUUUUUGGUGUACUAGUAUCUUCUAUUUUGUAUGCAAUUUUCUUUGUUUUUUCAUGGAGAGAAAGUUUAAUGAUAUGCUAUUGUAGCUGAAACCAGUGAAUACACUGAUGUGUGUUUUUGCAUAUCCUUUUGUUUCCCAUAACUGAAUAUCCUUAUGUAAUAUAUGUAGAUGUAGCUGAAUAUCCUUUUGUUUACUGCUCCUUCACAUAUUUGAUAUUUUUUCUUCCUAUGACGGUGCAUACAGAGAUUACCGGUGAAAGUUGUCGACGCCCUAAAGACCCCAGGAGAUGGGGAGAUACCGGGAGAUGGGCUUGCUGGCAUUCGGCUGUGCAAGGACAAUUUCAUGCCGGUCAAGUACCACAAGUGUGAUGAUGGCCGCAUCAUCUUCGGCAAGGGAUGGAGUGAUUUUGUUGACAGUGAAGAGCUUAAGGUUCAUAAAGCCGUUCUUUUGAGUUUCAAGACCACCACCCGUGAAGAUCUUCAGAUCGAGGUGGUUAUGAACAUGCUGACCGAGGAGCCACAAAUGUAGCACGACAACGCAAGAGUGUCCUUUACACUAGGUAUAGUGUGAAAACUAUUUUGAUAGCAGUUAUGCAUCUAUGGGGUUACGUCUUCAUUAUGUCUUGGGUGAUGAUGACUAUGAGAGGAGGACAUAUUGCAGUUAGAGUAAAUGCUAGGAUUCGGCCCUAUUCAGGACUCAAAAUAGGUCUUUCAAAGGUGGUUGCUUUAUUGGCUGUUGUUUCCCUGGCUAUAAUCAUGAACGAUGGUAAUGCAAAUGGAAUCGUUAAGGGGGUUUUAUUAAUAUUUUAAAUCAUGGAGUUAAGAUGGUAGAACUACCUAUGAGUGUUUGCGUAGGAGAUGCGGGAAGGGCAUCAGUUGUGUUCUUGACUCUUUGGCAAUGCAGGAAUAAUGUGAGAUUACAAAAUAAAUGGUAUAGUGAUCUUAUGAUUCUUGUUUAGCUAAUUUGCUUGUGGAUCAAGGGAUGGUCUAUAUUGCAGAUGAAGGUGGUAAACAAAGAGGUGCUGAUGUUGGGAGCAAAGAGGUGAUGAUGGUCUAUAUGCGCACUCUAGAGCAUGUAGCAGGUGAAUUGUACAGUUCAUCGCAAGUGUGGAGUCACAGGGUACUGCGGUGUCGCCUGCGCAUCUCUGCCGUAGUUUUAUUUUUUGGACCUUCAUGUUAAGUCUGGCUGGGCUUGCUACCAUGUAUGAUUUGUGCUGCUAGUUGAUUACUUUAGAAUCAGAGGGGGCGACCCUUCUUUUGAUUAAAAAAAUGAACUUUCUCUAUGCAAUUAAAAAAUAAAAUUUCUCUAUUCAAACCCAGUUGAGAACAGUAUUCAUUAUAAAACUGAAAUAAUCUUUUACUAAAAAUGGCUAUCGCAUUCUGUAUCAUAGCUAGCGAAACCUAAACAAAAUAAACGUCUUAAGUAUAAUAUCUCGUGAACGUGGAUCAAAUUAGGCAAGACAACUAGAAUAAAGGAUGAUUCAACUUGCAGGAAAUUUAAACUUACGACUUACUAGCAGUAUAAUAAAGUUUACAGACUAUCAGCUAGAUAAAUAGAAGAAACAUUUUAGGUCGAUUCAUUCUUCCUUCUGGACUUCCUUGACUGCCUAGAUGGUUUGGUGAGAUGCUGGCGCUGACUCUCGAACCCCUUCUGUAAGUUCAGCAACUGCCUGUAUACGUCGUAGGUGGCAUACGCGUCCAUGGAAGCAUAAUAGAUGUUCUUCAAGGGCAAGGGCGCUUCUGCCCAUAUAUGGUGGUCAUCUUCUGUGAGAGCGUCCUUCAUCUUGUUGUAGCUGUGGUGGAUGAUGGAACCAGCGUAGUCAGCCAAGCCAUACUUUGGCUUAAUCGUCACUGGAUCAGGCACUCUCCACAUAUUCUGGAUAUCCACAAAGUUUUGUACGACCAGACCAACAUGCUUGAGUUUUUUCUUGUCAUUGUUGAUGUCCACCCCAACAAAGGUGUACUCCUCGUCGAGCAGGAAGGUGGCAAGCAGGUCGCAGUGCUCAUCAGCAACGCUUAUGUGGUACACGAGGACGUAGAUGCCAACGCAUAACUGGACCACGGCCGCCAUCUGUGUCGGACCACGAGGCCAGGUGUACUCCACAUCCAGUGCAACUAUCUUCUGGUCGUCGUUCCGCAGCCAGUAUUUGAAUCUGCCCAUGCAGUACUCAACACUGCUAGCCUUGUUCGUGUACUUCACACAAAUUUCGGUAUUUCCAUCUGCCCUAGCAGCAUAAUCAUUCUCGAACGCCAUGCCGAAGGAUUGUAAUUGAUGAAACCAGUAUAAGACAUGAAGCAUGACAAUAACAUGAUAACAAUAAGCCGAGAUGAAUAUGACGACAGAUAGUAUAGGAAUUCUGGCGCUAUUGAAAGUUUAUGUAAACAAGUGCAUGAACAAUUUAAACUAAACAAGUACUCCCUCUGUAAAAAAAUCACUAAAGCAGUGAACCAAAAUUGUUAUAUUUCCUUGCAGAGGGAGUAUAUGCGAAUUAACAAUCAAAACUUACGCUCUUGAAAUAUUUAUCUAAACAACUGCAUCAACAAUCAAGAAUAAACAUGUAUCUAUGAAUUGUUCAUCGCCCAUGCAGAUGAAACUGUGUGUACAAACUAAAGAAGCAGGAGAAAAACAAGAAAUUGACAAGACAACGGACUAGAUGUUGCAUGCAGAUGAAUCUGUGUGCAAAAUUCUCAUAAGGCAACGGACUACAUGUUGCAGGCAGAUGAAUCUGUGUGCACAAAAUAAAGAAGCAGGAGAACAAGAAAUUGACAAGAAGAAGGCCAUCGUAUGUGCUGCUACUGGAGAACUACUAACAAAAUUGAUAGGAAGGAGAACUCACCGUUCUAGAAGACGGAUUGUUGGGAGAGUGGGCGACGCAGAGGAAGAGGGAAUCGAGAGGACGCAGAGGCAGAGGAACCGUUUUUGGAGAGUCGUGGCAGUCAGGAUGAAGCACCCUCGCGCAUGCCCAUCCUAAAUAAUUGGGACGGGGCUCGUCGCAGCCGUUGGAGUCCUCGCUUCCUUUCUCAUGUUCACAUUUCAAAUGGGCUCAUCCCAUUAUAAUAGGCCCGUAUAAGAAAGCACAAGAAGCCCAAACGCUUCACGGUUGAGAUUACUGAUCUAAACUUGCUAAAAAAUUCUCAAAAUAAAGAAACUAGCUAAAAAUACUUUACGUGAUCUAAAACUACCUCUUCGUGAGAUCCCAAAUUCCCAAUAUUUCCUUGUGGUGGGUUGUUAGAGAAUCCCCUAUAAAUAAACAUUACGUGAUCUAAAACUACCUCUUCCUGAGAUCCCAAAUUCCCAAUAUUUCCUUGUGAUCGGUUGUUAGAGAAUCCCCUGUAAAUACGAAGCUUUUCACGGCAUAGAUCGUAUACUUCCACCCCACGCCUCCCACCCCACGCCUCCCAUACCUAGCCUUCCAUGACUACACCGAAUUACCACCCCACGCCGCCCAAAGUAGCUCCCAGGUCGGUGAAGCCGACGGAGCCGUCAUCUUCAAAGCCUGCGUCGGCGAAUCCUGAGAUGAAAGAGAAGGGCACGUCAGAGAAGCCGACAAAAGAGAAGGGCACGUCGGAGAAGCCAGCGAAUCAAAAGUUGAAAGCGAACGGCAAUGGAGCCGGUCGCCAUCGAGAGAAUCCUCCGGUAACGAUCGAGAUCCUUGUAUUCUGUAUACACCCUCCUUCCCAAGUCUGCAUGCAAUCCCAUUAUUUAUGGCGCACUUCUUUUUGAUCUCGUUUAGUUACAGCCAUAAUGAACUGUCCCUAUUUUACCGAAGGGAGAUGGGUGUGUCUAGAAAGGCUUGCACGAAUCUUAGCAUAAAAUCAAUGACAUAGGACUUAGAUAAGCAAUACUUAGAGCACAUCUAGAUGUGCUUUAGCAAAACUUAAGGGAGAUCGUGGAUACCUUCCUCUCUUAGUGUUUAGUCGUGAAUGCCUCUCUCUGUAAUGAAACUUGCACUAAUUUUCGUGCUGGAAAGUUCUACGUGCAACGAUAUGGAAAGGAAGGACUAGUAAUUCAACUUUGUUUAAAACCAGCAACCGAAUCAACAAAAUAAUUGUGGUACUCCUAAAUGCCUGAUCAAAUACGCAGUAGACAGAAUACAAAGUAGUUUUGUACGUAAGUUGCACGCCUCACUUAUUUGGCAUUGAGAACAUCAAAUGUAUGUACUAUAUUAAGUUUUAGGUUGACGAGAAAGAAAGGAGAAAACUAAAGAGAAAGAUGGACAGUAGGAUCACAUGUUACAUUCCUAAUAUGGUGAUUAUCUAUAAACUAUUCAUCUUGUGAUCAUGUAUGCAAUUAUUUUCGUAAGGGUGACGCCUGAAACUUUAGUAGCGUACAUAGACCAAAGUCUGCUCUUUCUACUAAAAAUCUAUACUAUUAUCAGUCAAUUUGCCGACAGAGAUAGCUUGUUUUUCUAUGUCUGGUGUUCAUUAUAUGGCCUAGAAGCUCUAUAAUUUCAUGCAGUACUGUAGAGCACAAUUUUAAUAUUGGCAUAGAUUAGAUCUAGUCGGUUCUAUGCGUGUUUAAAUGAAUACCAUACAGAAUCUAAUCACACUAUUUGUACAUUCAGGGAACUCAGGUUGCUUCAUUGCUGCAAUACGAGAAGUUCAUAAAAGAAUUAAACUCACAACAACUGACAUACAUCAAGUUGAUUGGACUGGGUGAACUUCUCAAGACUCCUGGCAUGAGAAUGAGACGUCUACUAUGCCAGGCCAUCGCUUAUUCAUAUGAUGCAGAGUAGGAUGCCUUUAUAAUUAAUGGGAGACCAUGUAGGAUCACACUAAAAGAUGUGGAGCAUAUAACAGGCCUGCCCUGCAUGGGGAAGAAUCACGUCUCUUCAAAUCACAACGAUACUUUGGAGUUGUGGAAGGAACUGAAAGACCCCAAUGACACAAAAGUAACUUUGAAAGGAUAGCUAGCCAAGAUGAAAGGCAACAGCACACCUAAUUUUGUCAGGCCAUUUGUCUUGUACACCAUAGGCAAAUAUGUAUGCCCGACAACACAGCAGUAUGUGGCCAACAGAUACCUUGGGAUUGUUAGAAACGUUGAGACAAUAAAGAGCACCAAUUUUGGACAGCUUACACUUGACCAUCUUAUGACUAGCGUCAGGAAAUUUGUAAAUGGUGGAGCAAAUCUGGAGGGCAACCUACCACUGCUGCAAGUAAUACAAUCAUUAUUAACAUACAAUACAUUUAAUUUAUGGAAAAAUUUCUAAGUUGUUUUUGUUGUAAUGCAGAUGUGGUACUACAAGAAGUGGAGGGUGCACCAAUUGGACUCUACCAUCUGGUAUGCAUCAAGGUUAAGGCCGCUGAUCCAAAACUGGAGUGACGAGAAGGCACAGAAGGUUGACAACAUAAUCAACAAAAAUUAUAUAGGGGUUGGAGAGGUAAAGUGUUAGUACUGUGUGCCUGGAUUAUCUACCAGAUGUUUUGAAUGAUACUAACGACACUAACAUACAGUAUGUCGAUGACCUACUGCGGCCUUUCAAUCCGCCACCAGUUGGGACGCCUGUCAAACCAAAGACUGACAGUCAGGUAAAUGAUGAACAUCAGACACAAAUAUAUAUUGUAACUUUGCAAGUACAAUCGAAGUCAUAUGCUUCUAACUGCUUGUAAUUUGCAGGAUAAGGCACUCAUGGGCCGUGUAUUGGCUGAUUUGAAAGAAGUUGCCUCCAUUGUGCGGGAAGCCAGUGCACAACAAUUUGAUAGGAUGAGCGCCCUUGAAAAAAAAUGGACGAGUGCCUUAGGCGUACACUUGCGAACGGCAGACGCACGGACGACCUCAUCACAGAAUUCAAUGUAAGUAUACCAUUAUGAGUUUCUAUAAAUAUUUUUACUAUCAAUACUCUCCACACUAACACAUUUUUUGAAGAACCACCGCUAUGGAAUAUUUGAUGCCGAUCGCCCAGGAGUAGAGGACAUACAGCUAUCUGACCUGGGAGUACCUGCGGACCCAAUGGAGGUCCCAGGAGAGAAUACUACCCACCAGCAAAAAAAAAGACACGGAGGUCAUUGCCAAAGGCAUUUCUGCUAAGGGAAUACAAAAAGAUAACAUGGAUGCCCCCAUGAAGAACGUAGCUGAAGAUUUGCAGCCUGCUCCUAGUUUGCAAUCGCGAAAGCAUUCAAAAACCACCACAAGCCUUGAAGCUUUCAUGGUGAUACACAUUUCACAUCUAACUGAUUUUGUUUUAAGUUAAUGCAGGUUCAUAGCUAACAUAUGAUCUUCCAUGUUCAGGAUGAAGAAGACAGAGUUGUUGCUGCAGCUUGCAAGGAGAGUCUCAAGAAUGUUUCAUAGCUUUAUAAAGAGCUGGAUGCUUCGCAGGGUGCUCCGAGUUUGGAUUCGCGAAAGCAUUCCAAAGCCACCACAAGCCUUGAAGCUUUCCUGGUGAUGCACAUUUUAUAGUUAACUGGUUUUGUUUUAAGUUAAUGCAGAUUCGUAGCUAACAUAUGAUCUUCCAUGUUCAGGAUGAAGAAGACAGAGCUGUUGCUGCAGCUUGCAAGGAGAGUCUCAAGAAUGUUUCACAGCUUUAUAAAGAGCUGGAUGCUUCGCAGGGUGCUCCGAGUUUGGAUUCGUGAAAGCAUUCCAAAGCCACCACAAGCCUUGAAGCUUUCCUGGUGAUGCACAUUUUAUAGUUAACUGGUUUUGUUUUUUUAUUUCACGCAGAUUGCAAGCUAACAAGUGCUUUAUUUCGAAUCACAGGAUCCUCUGAAUUUGGGGCACAAUGAGAAUGUGCGAAAGGCUGAGGAAAGAAGAGAUCAAGAUGAUGAAGAUGUCAGUAUUGAGGUGGGGGGAGAGGCAGGUACCAAAAGCGAACACCGGUCUGCCAAGGCUAAGGCAAUAAGGGAGCCGGAAGAGACCCAUGUCUUCCAAGUUGAUGAGGACAACUAUGAUGAUUCUUUAGCAAAGCAGCGACAAGAUAGUGUGGUUGAUUCCAUGCUACCAACUCGUACGAGCAUCCGGAAAAGAGUGGCAUCUUCAUUAUUGUGCAAUGAAGAUUAUGUUCUAUACGAUAGUGAUAAGAAGAGAAAGAAAAACAGGACUCCAUCGGAGUCUACAAACGAUUCCAAGGACACAAAGAAUACAAAGAGGAAAAACCGUGCAAGCAUUUUUAAAGAUACAGACACAGGUGCUUCGAGGCUGUAGACCGACCUUGACAAGUUUUGACAGAAUUACGUGGCCGAAAUUGUCAACACCUCAGAUCUUGAUAAACAAUUGGUGGUAAUUGAUGACAUUGUUCUGCUACAGAAGCAUUUGCAAUGCCUCACCAUGACAGAUGGAGUUUUAGAUGACAAAUGGUUGGGUGACGAAGUAAGAUAUUUGCCAAAUUAUUUUAUCAAUUUUCUUUUGCACAGUAUAAUUAACUUUAAUUUUGUUUUAGUUGGUAGAUGCUGUGAUUCAGAUCAUGCGUCAUGAUCAUCCUAAGGACAUAAGGGACGGGCAACUGGUUUACAUUCAGAGGGUGGCCGGCGUCGCUAUGCUCGAAAGAGAUGGUAAGGUAGAGAACUGCCACGAGGCCGCUUUGGCGGGCAGUCAUGGAACAACAGAAGGAGACAACUACCUCAGACAUGAUCUGGUACCAUCUAACCAUGACAUAAACACAUUUAUUUUUGUAAUCAUUAUGCAUGUUGUGUUGGGGAUUGUCGCAGAAAUUAAAAAAAUUCUACGCAUCACCAAGAUCAAUCUAUGGAGUUUACUAGCAACGAGAGGGGAUUGCAUCUUCAUACCUUUGAAGAUCGCGAUGCGGAAGCGUUGCAAGAACGCGGUUGGAGGAGUCGUACACGUAGCGAUUCAGAUCGCGGCAGAAUCCGAUCCAAGCACCGAACAACGCUGCCUCCGCGUUCAACACACGUGCAGCCCGGUGACGUCUCCCACGCCUUGAUCUAGCAAGGAGGAGGGAGAGGUUGAGGAAGAAGGCUCCAACAACAGCACGACGGCGUGGUGGUGGUGGAGUGGCAGUUCUCCGGCAGGGCUUCGCCAAGCUCACGCGGAGGAGGAGAUGUGUUGGGGAGGGGAGGGGCUGCGCCUUGGAUGUGGUGGUGCUGCCCUCCCACCCCCCUCUAUUUAUAGGGGCAAGGGAGAGGGGGCCGGCCCCCUCCAGAUGGAUCUAGAGGGGGGCGGCGGCCAAAGGGGGAGGCUUGCCCCCCAAGCCAAGGGGGGCGCCCCCUCCAGGGUUUCCCCCAACCCUAGGCGCAUGGGCCCUAGGGGGGUUUGGCGCCCAGCCCACCUAGGGGCUGGUUCCCCUCUAUAUUCAGCCCAUAGGGCCCUCCGGGGCAGGUGGACCCUCCCGAUGGACCCCCAGAACCCUUUCGGUGGUCCCGGUACAAUACCGAUAUACCCCUGAACACUUCCAGCGACCGAAUAAGGACUUCCCAUAUAUAAAUCUUCGUCUCCGGACCAUUCUGGAACUCCUCGUGACGUCCGAGAUCUCAUCCGGGACUCCGAACAACAUUCGGUAAUCACAUACAAACCUUCCUUAUAACCCUAGCGUCAUCGAAUCUUAAGUGUGUAGACCCUACGGGUUCGGGAAUCAUGCAGACAUGACCGAGACACCUCUCUAGACAAUAACCAACAGCGGGAUCUGGAUACCAAUGUUGGCUCCCACACAUUCCACGAUGAUCUCAUCGGAUGAACCAUGAUGUCGAGGAUUCAAGCAAUCCCGUAUACAAUUCCCUUUAUCAAUCGGUACGUUACUUGCCCGAGAUUCGAUCGUCGGUAUCCCAAUACCUCGUUCAAUCUCGUUACCGGCAAGUCACUUUACUCGUUCCGUAAUGCAUGAUCCCGUGACAAACUACUUGGUCACACUGAGCUCAUUAUGAUGAUGCAUUACCGAGAGGGCCCAGAGAUACCUCUCCGUCAUACGGAGUGACAAAUCCCAGUCUCGAUCCGUGCCAACCCAACAGACACUUUCGGAGAUACCUGUAGUGCACCUUUAUAGCCACCUAGUUACGUUGUGAUGUUUGGUACACCCAAAGCAUUCCUAAGGCAUCCGGGAGUUGCAUGAUCUCAUGGUCUAAGGAAAUGAUACUUCACAUUAGAAAAGCUUUAGUAAACGAACUACACGAUCUAGUGCUAUGCUUAGGAUUGGGUCUUGUCCAUCACAUCAUUCUCCUAAUGAUGUGAUCCCGUUAUCAAUGACAUCCAAUGUCCAUGGUCAGGAAACCGUAACCAUCUAUUGAUCAACGAGCUAGUCAACUAGAGGCUCACUAGGGACAUGUUGUGGUCUAUGUAUUCACACAUGUAUUACGAUUUCCGGAUAACACAAUUAUAGCAUGAACAAUAGACAGUUAUCAUGAACAAGGAAAUAUAAUAAUAACCAUUUUAUUAUGGCCUCUAGGGCAUAUUUCCAAUAGUCUCCCACUUGCACUAGAGUCAAUAAUCUAGUUACAUGUGAAGAAUCGAACACCCAUAGAGUUCUGGUGUUGAUCAUGUUUUGCUCGUGGAAGAGGUUUAGUCAACGGAUCUGCAACAUUCAGGUCCGUAUGCACUUUACAAAUAUCUAUCUCUCCAUCUUGAACAUUUUCACGAAUGGAGUUGAAGCGACGCUUGAUAUGCCUGGUCUUCUUGUGAAACCUGGGCUCCUUGGCCAGGGUAAUAGCUCCAGUGUUGUCACAGAAGAGAGUCAUCGGGCCCGACGCAUUGGGAAUAACUCCUAGGUCGGUAAUGAACUCCUUCAUCCAGAUUGCUUCAUGCGCUGCCUCCGAGGCUGCCAUGUACUCCGCUACACAUGUAGAUCCCGCCACGACGCUUUGCUUGCAACUGCACCAGCUGACUACCCCACCAUUCAAAAUAUACACGUAUCCGGUUUGUGACUUAGAGUCAUCCAGAUCUGUGUCGAAGCUAGCAUCGACGUAACCCUUUACGACGAGCUCUUCGUCACCUCCAUAAACGAGAAACAUAUCCUUAGUCCUUUUCAGGUACUUCAGGAUGUUCUUGACCGCUGUCCAGUGUUCCAUGCCGGGAUUACUUUGGUACCUUCCUACCAAACUUACGGCAAGGUUUACAUCAGGUCUGGAACCCAGCAUGGCAUACAUAAUAGAUCUUAUGGCCGAGGCAUAGGGGAUGACACUCAUCUUUUCUCUAUCUUCUGUCGUGGUCGGGCAUUGAGCCGUGCUCAAUCUCACACCUUGCAAUACAGGCAAGAACUCCUUCUUGGACUGAUCCAUAUUGAACUUCUUCAAUAUCUUGUCAAGGUAUGUGCUUUGUGAAAGACCUAUGAGGCGUCUCGAUCUAUCUCUAUAGAUCUUGAUGCCUAAUAUGUAAGCAGCUUCUCCAAGGUCCUUCAUUGAAAAACACUUAUUCAAGUAGGCCUUUAUACUUUCCAAGAAUUAUAUAUCAUUUCCCAUCAAUAGUAUGUCAUCCACAUAUAAUAUGAGAAAUGCUACAGAGCUCCCACUCACUUUCUUGUAAACACAGGCUUCUCCAUAAGUCUGUGUAAACCCAAACGCUUUGAUCAUCUCAUCAAAGUGAAUGUUCCAACUCCGAGAUGCCUGCACCAGCCCAUAGAUUGAGCGCUGGAGCUUGCAUACUUUGUCAGCAUUCUUAGGAUCGACAAAACCUUCCGGUUGCAUCAUAUACAAUCCUUCCUUAAGGAAGCCGUUAAGGAAUGCCGUUUUGACGUCCAUUUGCCAUAUUUCGUAAUCAUAGAAUGCGGCAAUUGCUAACAUGCUUCAGACGGACUUCAGCUUCGCUACGGGUGAGAAGGUCUCAUCGUAGUCAACUCCUUGAACUUGUCGAUAACCCUUAGCGACAAGUCGAGCUUUAUAGAUGGUAACAUUUCCAUCCGUGUCCGUCUUCUUCUUAAAGAUCCAUUUAUUUUCUAUCGCUCGCCGAUCAUCGGGCAAGUCUGUCAAAGUUCACACUUUGUUUUCAUACAUGGAUCCUAUCUCGAAUUGCAUGGCUUCAAGCCAUUUGUUGGAAUCUGGACCCGCCAUUGCUUCUUCAUAGUUCGAAGGUUCACCGUUGUCCAACAACAUGAUUUCCAGGACAGGGUUGCCGUACCACUGUGGUGCGGAACGUGUCCUUGUGGGCCUACGAAGUUCAGUGGUAACUUGAUCAUGAUCGUCAUCAUUAACUUCCUCUCUAGUCGGUGCAGGCACCACAUAAACAUUUUCUUGUGCUGCGCUACUUUCUGGUUCGAGAGGGGUCAUCUCAUCAAGUUCCACUUUCCUCCCACUUACUUCUUUCGAGAGAAACUCUUUCUCUAGAAAGGACCCGUUCUUGGCAACGAAGAUCUUGCCUUCGGAUCUGAGGUAGAAGGUAUACCCAAUGGUUUCCUUCGGGUAUCCUAUGAAGACGCAUUUUUCCGACUUGGGUUCGAGCUUUUCCCAAUAUUUCCUUGUGGUGGGUUGUUAGAGAAUCCCCUAUAAAUAAACAUUACGUGAUCUAAAACUACCUCUUCGUGGGAUCCCAAAUUCCCAAUAUUUCCUUGUGAUCGGUUGUUAGAGAAUCCCCUAUAAAUACGAAGCUUUUCACGGCAUAGAUCGUAUACUUCCACCCCACACCUAGCCUUCCAUGACUACACCGAAUUACCACCGCACGCCGCCCAAAGUAGCUCCCAGGUCGGUGACAUCGGAGAAGCCGGCGAAGCAAAAGAUGAAAGCGAACGGCAAUGGAGUCGGUCGCCAUCGAGAGAAUCCUCUGGUAACGAUCGAGAUCCUUGUAUUCUGUAUACUCCCUCCUUCCCAAGUCUGCAUGCAAUCCCAUUAUACCAAAGGGAUAUGGGUGUGUCUAGAAAGAAAAGAAAAAACAACAAAAAAAAGGCUUGCACGAAUCUUAGCAUAAAAUCAAUGACAUAGGACUUAGAUAAGCAAUACUUAGAGCACAUCUAGAUGUGCUUUAGCAAAACUUAAGGGAGAUCAUGCAUGCCUUCAGUUUUUAGUCGUGAAUGCCUCUCUUUGUAAUGAAACUUGCACUAAUUUUCAUGCUGGAAAGUUCUACGUGCAACGAUAUGGGAAGGAAGGACUAGUAAAUGGUGGAGCAAAUCUGGAGGGCAACCUAGCACUGCUUCAAGUAAUACAAUCAUUAUUAACAUACCAUACAUUUAAUUUUAUGGAGAAUUUUCUAAGCUGUUUUUGUUGUAAUGCAGACGUGGUACUACGAGAAGUGGAGGGUGCACCAAUUGGACUAUACCAUCUCGUAUGCAUCAAGGUUAAGGACGCUGAUCCAAAACUGCCACGAGGCAGCUUUGGCAGGCAGUCAUGGAACAACAAAAGGAGACAACUACCUCAGACAUGAUCUGGUACCAUCUAACCAUGACAUAAACACAUUUAUUUUUCUAAUUAUUAUGCAUGUUGAUGUAAUCAUAUUUGUUGUCCAGGUUUUUCUACCUAUGAACAUGGCAAACACCCACUGGUUCCUUGUGGUUGUAAACCCCAGAAGGAGGGAGAUUCAGAUUCUUGACUCACUUUUCAGCUACAUAGUAAGCACACAAGUGGUUCACGUGGUGACAUUUUAAACGUCUUUCAAUAUAACACAGCAUUUAGCAUCAUACCUAACCUUGAACCGUGAGCAACUUCUCAUACCAUGGACUUUGGCAGAUACGUGGGGUGGAAGCACAUCUAAGAGCAUCGCUGCAAAUCAAUGGACCAAAAAGCCAUGCAUGGCAAGACAUUAACGUGACCUAAUGGACAGUAAAGCAUGUUCCUGUGCCAAGACAAGAUGACAAGUCAGUCAACAGUAUUAGCUUCUAAAUAUGUUUUUCAUUGUUAAUACGUGAAAAUGGUGCUAACAGAAUUAAUUGUUGUAGUUCUUCUUGUGCACUCUACAUGCUGAAGAACAUCAAAUUCUUUACGGGAGAAGAUCUUACGCUGCAUUAUGACCAAGUACGUAGAGUAACACCUAAAAUUCUGUCAAUUUUGUAAACAUAUGGAAUGAUACUAACAUAUCCUCCCAUGCAGGCAUACAUUGACAAUUAUAGAAGAGAGCUGCCUGUUGUCCUUCUUAAUUCGCCCUACAACAAAUUUAAGUCCAUGAAAAGGCCGAAGAAGUACAAUGCUAGCCUAUCGGAUGCAGCUGCGAUUGAAGAUCAUGAAGAUGCAAGCAGUUAGUCCAGCAGUGGUUGAUUCUUAGAUCUGGAGUGUACACUUGGUUAUGAAGCGGUAGAGUAGGGUGUGGUUUGGUUUUAGUCCCAAAGAAGGUUUCCUAGCCAUGUUCAUAGUCCAGUGCGGAUUAAUCAAGUUGUAAUAUUUCACAGUACUGGUUCCAAAUACUAUUCUUGAAAUAAAUUUGGUUUGCAUGGGAGACGCUGAAACAUAUAUUUGCUUUUUACAAACAGAACUUUUGAAGCUUAGGAAGGUUAACUGAAUUCUUAAAUUUAUAUUUAAGUGUCGUCGGAGUCUGGACAAGAUUCAGAACAAUUACAUCGCCAGUUAGAAGUUUCAGAAUUUUUUUAACAUCGCUAGUUAGAAGUUUCAGAAUUCUUUUAACAUCGCUAGUUAGAAGUUUCAGAAAAAUUUCAGCGAGUGCUGAAAUAUUUUGGCAUCGCUAGUUAGAAGUUUCAGAAAAAUUUCAGCGAGUGCUGAAAUAUUUUGGCCGAAAUUCAGUGAGGCUGAAAUAUUUUGGCUGAAAGGCAAAUAUUGCAGUGAGUGCUGAAAUGAAUGAAGUUCAGUUAUUUCAUCGAAAUCUCACCGAAGUGAAAACCAUGGUGUCGUGCCAUCUUGAGCAGCACCGGACAUGAUUCAGUAUUAUUAACAAAAUUUGGUCUCACAUAUACGAGGAAAAAAGGUAUGAGCAUGAGCAUGCCAGAUCGGAUGGGAAAUAAAAUAGCUUCACAAGAGAGUAAAAUACUUCACGUGUGAAGACUCAAUCUUAGUUGACUUUAGAACCAGUUUUCAUCCUAAAAGAGGUCCAGUGAACUACUUAUAAGCAAUAAUAAAAGCGGUCCAGUUCUUUUGGCUGAUUUUCAAAGAAACGGGAACGAUAUCUUUUUGAUGAUCGUGAUUCUCAGGAGACCUACGUGUUGUUACACAACUUACCUUGGUUUUUUUAAACCAUAACUUACCUUUGCUAAACUCUCCACGCCCCCCCUAAUAUUCAACCAGGUGGGUCCCCUCCCUUGAUUUCCUCCAACCAAAGAAAUCUAUACGUAGAUAUAUGCCCGGUUUGUUACGAUCCCUAUAAAUAGGGAUCCUUUGAAACCUCGUAGAUCAUAGUUCGUCCUUCUGCGCCGCCCAAACCAGCAAGACAGAAGGACGGAGCAACCCAGGAAUCCAGCAAGACCGAACGACGGAGCCAAACAUGAAUCCUCUGGUAACUCCCCACGAUCUCAGCCGCUGCUAUUUUUCGUGCCACGAUCUUCCUCCCAUGAUCUCUUGCUGCGACCCCACUCGUUGUUUGCAUAUUCAUGUAACUCAGCAUGUUUUUAAACAAAUUAAGUUGGGGGCGUUAGGGGAGGGCGCUAGGAUUUGUUUCCUACCAGAUUGGCAGUGAUUAAUUCCAGGCUAAAUCUUAGCGUCUGGUCUUGUCGAUGCCAAUUAGUGCAGCGGGCGCUUGCCUUCUUUUUUUCCUUCCGCACGAGUUAUGGAAGGCAUCGAUGACCCAUGUUUUAAUUCCAUACUACUGACCAUGAUUAGCGCCUAGAGUUGAGGAGACCACGGUUGGAUAGUUUUUUAUUUUCCAAUCUUUAUUUUAUUUCAGAUAAGUGCCUUGCAAUGGAGAUUACCUUAGAUGAUCGUUCAAACAUAACCAAGCUGAAUCACAUGAUAGUAUUUGCACAUACAUGGAACUCAGCAUGCUUGUACCUCAUGCAGUAGCGUAGAGCACAAUUUUUAUGUUGGUAUAUGUAAGUUGUAGUCAUCUGUAUGAGUGUUUAAAUUGUAUACCAUGCUGAAUCUAAUCACACUUGCACAUCCAUUGAACCCAGGAUGCUUCUUUGCCGCCAUAUGAGGAGUUCAUAAACGGAUUAAACACGCAGCAAAGGAUGUACAUCCAGUUGAUAGGACUGGGUGGACUUCUCAAGACACCUAGCAUCAAAAUUAGACGUGUACUCUGCCUGGCCAUCGCUAAUUCAUAUGAUGCAGAGCAGGAUGCCUUUAUCAUCAAUGGGAGACCAUGUAGGAUCACACUAGAAGAUGUAGCGCAUAUAACAGGCAUGCCCUGCCAUGGGAAGAAGCACGUCCCUUCAAAUCUUGAUGAUAAUAUGGAGUUGUGGAAGAAACUAAAAGACCGUAAUGACACCAAAAUAACUUUCAAAGGAUUGCUAGCCAAGAUGAAAGUCGACAGCACACCAAAUUUUGUCAGGCCAUUUGUCUUGUACACCAUAGGCAAAUAUGUAUGCCGAACAAAAGAGGAGUAUGUGGAUAACAAAUAUAUUGGGAUUUUUAGAAACGUUGAGACGAUAAAGGGCACAAAUCUUGGACAGCUGGUGAGGCAAUUCUGGAGGGGAAUCUACCACUGCUACAGGUAAUUCGUAGUAGUACAAUUAUCAGUUACCUAACAUACAUUACAUAAUGUAUGGGAAUGUUUGUAAACUGCUUUUGUUGUCAUGCAGACAUGGUACUACGAGAAGUUCAGAGUGCACCAAUUGGACUCUAGCAUCUCAUAUGAAUCAAGGUUAAGGCCGUUGAUCCAGAACUGGAGCGAGGAGAAGGCAAAAAAGGUUGACAAUAUAGUCCAGAAUAAUUAUCUGGGAGUUGGAGAGGUAAAAUGUCAGCACAUUGCCUGGAUUAUGUAACAUAUAUAUUUUCUAAAUCAUACUAACGACACUAAACUGCAGUAUGUUGAGGACCUGAUGAGGCCUUUCCUUCCAGCACGAGAUGGUACGCUGGCCAAACCGAAGACUGGCGCUCAGGUAAAUGAGUUACAUAAGGAACAAAUAUAUAUUGUAACAUUCCAACUAGUAUGAAGUUAUAUGAUUCUAACUGUUUCAAAGUCUCAGAUUAAGGUACUCGUCGGACGUGUAUUGACUGAUUUGCAAGAAGUUGCCUCCCUCGUGCGGGAGUCCGGUACAGAACAAAACCAUAGGAUGUGCACCCUUGAAAAGAAAAUGGAUGAGUGCCUUAGGCGUACCCGUACAAAUGGCAAGCUCACGGAGGACCUCAUCAAAGAAUUGAAGGUAAGCCUAGAAUUAUGAGAUUAGUAUAUAUAAUUGGAAAUUUACGUGUACAAGUUUUUUUCUAAUUUACUUUACUAUCAAAACACCCCAGACUAACAUGUAUUUUUUAAAGAAAAAACACGAUGGAAUAUUUCCAGGAGUGGAGGACAUACAUCUAUCUGACCUCGGGGCACCUUCACACCCAAUGGAGGCCUCUGUUGAGAAUGCUGAGCAGGCUUCUGACCAGGGGAAACAAAAGGAUGUCACAGAGGUCGCUGCUAAGCACGAUUGUAAGCAGGGAAUAAAAAAUGAUGACACGGAGCCCCCCAUGAAGAACCUUGAUGAAGAUUUUGAUGUACGCAUGUUAACUUAGUUAUGAAACAAUCAUUGUCGUUUUAGAAAUAACAUUUGAUCUUCCACCUACAGGAUGAAGCAUUCGAAAGAGCUGCUGCAAAAUCAAACAGGAUCUCAGUGGUAUUCAUAAGCUUUUGAAAGAGGUGAAUGAUAUCCAGGGAGCUCCUAGUUUUGAUAAGCAAAUGCAUUCCAAAGCCACCACAAGCCUUGAAGAUUUCCAGGUGAUGCACAUUUUACCUAUAAUUGAGCAAGAAUCUGCUAAAGGCUAACACGCGGUUUAUUUCGUCUGACAGAAUCCGUUCAACAGAUGGAGUAAGCAGCACUCUGUGAAGGCUACGGGAUCGCGAGAUCCGGAAGAGCCCCGUGCCUUCACAGAUGAUGACAGCCAUGAUGAAUCCUUUCAAAAGCAGCAACAAGUAAGUGUGGUUGAAUCGACGCCACCAAAUCAUGGGGGCGAAAAGAAAAGGGUGGUAUUGCAAUUAUUUAAGAAUGACGAGUAUGCUUCGUACGACACUGAGAAGAAAAAAAGAAAAAACCAAGACUCCAUCAGAGUGUACAAAUGAUUCCGAGGACACGAACAGUAAAAAGAGGAAAAUCGGCUCUAGCAACUUAAAAAAGAGGUCAGAAGUUCCUGAAACCCAGAGAGACCAGCUAGACGUGGUUCGACAGGAUUUCGUGGCGUCACUGAUCAACACUACAAAUCGUGAAAAACAAAUGGUCUUAGUUGAUGACAUUGUCGUGCUAUCAAAGCAUUUGCAAUGCCUCACCCAUAAAGAUGAAUCUGAAGAUGGCGUAUGGUUGGGUGACGAAGUAAGAUAGUAUUUCACAAAUUAGUUUAUGAAGUUUCAUUUUUGUACAAUACAAUUAACUUGAUUAUUGUUGUAGGUGGUUGAUGCUGCGAUCCAGCUCAUGCGUCAUGAUCAACCAAUUGACACAAGGGACGGCCAACUGGUUUACAUUGAGAGGGUGGCCGGCGUCGCUAAGCUCGAAAGAGAUGGUAGGAUAGAGGAGUGCUACGAGGACGCUUUGGCAGGCAUUCCUGGAACAAAACAAGGCACCACCUACCUGAAACAUGAUAUGGUAUUUUAAGCUGACGUAGAACGGAUUUCUUUAUUACUAUGCAUGUUGAUCUAAUUAUCUGUGCACUCCAGGUUUUCCUACCUACGAAUAGUUUAAACACCCACUGGUUCCUUGUGGUCGUAAACCCCAGAAGGAAGGAGAUUCAGGUUCGUGAUUCACUUUUCCACUGUAUGAUACCCAGAGAAGUAAAUAACGUGGUGAGAAUUUCAACAUAUUUAAUUAUAAGAAAGGAUUUAACAUCGUAUGUAAGUAUUAGUCGUAGGCAACUUCUCAUCCCAUUGGGCUUGCAUGUAUGUGGGAUGGAAGCACAUCUGAGAGCAGCGAUGCGAGUCAAUGGGAUUGAAAGCAAUGCAUGGGAAGACAUUAACGUGAUGCAAUGGCCAAUACGGAAUAUUAAUGUGCCAAAAUCAGAUGAGACGUCAGUCAACAAUAUUAGCUUUUGUUUUUGUUUUAGAUUGUUAAUAUCUGAAAUGCUGAUCUAACAACAUAAAAUGUUGCAGUUUUUGUUGUGCAUUGUACAUGCUGAAGAACAUCGAAUUAUUUACAGGAGUAAAACUGAGGUUGCAAUAUGACGAUGUACGUAGAGUAACACCUAAAAUUCUGUCAUUUUCUUAAACAUAUGGAACGAUACUAACAUAUCCUCGCAUGCUGGCCUACAUCGACAAAUUCAGAAGAGAGCUACCUGUUGUGCUUGUCGAUUCACCCUACAACAAAAUGAAAUACAAGACUAGGUUCAAGCAGUACCAUGCUAGGCAAUCGGAUGCAGCUACGGUUGAAGACGACGAGGAUGCAAGCAGUUAGUCCAGCAUUGUGGUUCAUUCUUACAUGUGGAGUGUACACUUGGCCAUAAAGCGAUAGAGUAGGGUGUGGUUGGGUUUUAGUCCCGAAGAAGGUUUCCUAGCCGUGUUCUUAGUCCAUUGCACAUGAGUCAAGUUGUAAAACUUCAAUAAUAUUGGUUACUAUAUUUUUCUUGAAAUAAAUUUGGUCUCUACGGGAUCUCGUAGAAAUCUAUAUUUGCUUUUUACUACCAUGUGACAGUAAUGGUGCCUGGGGCAACCCUAGAAGAAUAAUGGAUUACGAUAUGUCUAUUUUCAUACGAGAGAAAAAUUUAUUAAAGCAUGAGCAUAGCCUCACAAUAGAAGUCAAAAAUACUGCCUGAUUCAACACGCAAUCCCAGCUAUGUCUCGUAGGCAGGCCGCAAAGCCAAAAAAUAGAGCAUAGGAUAACAAGAGUAAAAGCACGUACCAUAGGGGGCCUCUGCAGGUGCUGCAACGAUGAAUUGAAGCGAUCACCUUCAGGAGCGCAGUGGUGUGGCCAUGGUACAUCCAUCCUGCCUCAGGUAAUCACAUAGCAUGUUCUGUCAUAGCCCUGCAAAACAGAGGAAAAAUUACUAGUACUAACCUUGUCAAGUGUGUGCAUGUAACAAAUGUUGGACAUAACUAAACACGGAAGAAUGAAAUGCAACAUAUGGAAGAAUCGAAUGCUCAUUCCUUUCUCUCUGCUUUUUGCGAGGACCAUUACUCUCCCUUUAACAAGGCUAAAACAUCAUAAUAAGACUUAACAGCAAUCUUAAAAAGGUGGAUAUCCCAUGUGAAUCUAAUGUUUCAUAUAAAGCACAUGCCAAGUCUGUUGAUCCCAGUCCAGCAAUUGCACAAGAAGAAGCGAGCAUCAUAAAUAUUGAGCAGCAUAAGCUAUAAAUUGUUUAUAGUACAUUCCAAAAUUAAUAGCUUAUCAUCUCUGUUGAUCUCCAAAUCUCACCUAUAGCCAAAUUGAAAGAAUACAUAUUGAAUGCAACGAUUGAACGUUCGUAGAUCAAGCAGUCGGGGCCGGACGAAUGGGGCUGGCCGUCGAGGCCGGCGGCCGGCUUCAUCUAGUCCCGCAGAACAUGAUCCAUACCCAACCACCUUGCCAUCGGACGAGAUGCAUGGCGAGAUCAAAGCUGCAGCCAUGGCUGAGAAAUGAUAUGUAGAGGACGCAAACAACCAAUUGGGGUGUGGGAAAGAGGUUGCCUAUAACCUUGUGGCUAUAGGCACCCGCAUGGAGGACUGGGAGGUGGGAUGGCGCCGACUCUUCGCCGGCAGCCGCCGCGGGGAGGGCAGUGGGCCUCCUCUCGUGUUCGUUGAAAAGGUGGUGCGAGAUCGCGAGGGAAUUGGGGUGGAGGAAGGGAGGGGCCGCGACGCGCGGCUAGAUCCUGCCGGCGACGAGGGAGGGAGGGGCCGCGACGAGCGGCUAGAUCCUGCCGGCGAGGAUUAAAACCGUAGCGGCGGCGAGGAAUAAACCCUAGCGAACGGGAUAAAUAUCGAACCGAAAAUAGCCCUGAAAUUCGUACCGAGAAUACCCUCGAAAUAUUUGGGAGGAAAAAUCAGAUCAGUUCGAAAUAUUUUUUCUCCCAAAAAUGCCCCUCGGGGUCUGAUAUGAUACACGUGACAUCAGCGUAUUGCAUCGGACCUGGACCGUCGAAUUCGCUCCGACGGACGGUCCAUAUCGUCCGGAUGCACUGUAAAAUGACUCAUAAAUUAAUGUGCUUUGUUUGUGUGAAAACUAGUUUGGUUUUGUACCAAAUUUCCAUAUACUUUGGAGUCCUCCUCACCUAAAAAAAGUCGUCCUUGGCCACUGGCCUGAAUGUAGCAUUGUAGCAAUAUACGAUGGCAAAACAACAUGAAGAGGAACAAAAUGUGUUGUCCGUCAAAGAGAAUUCAGAAUGAUAAUGAUCAUAUAAUAUGAGCUUGGUAUCCCCCAAAAUAAGCAUGCAAAGUCCAUCUCAUUCCUCAUGACAUGAUUGAUUUCACGACUAGACAAUUUGGUCGAGUUCCUGUAGAUUUCAAGGGGUGUGAGAGUAUUCAUGCGCGACCCGAGCAUCUGCACAAAGCCAUGUGCAAUCACCGUGCUUUUUUUCAUCUCUCGUCAUGUCAUCCACACAAAACAAAAGCUUUUUCCAGAGCAUUUUUCACGCGUGCACGCGUGUGUGAUGUGAUGCUCAUGCCACAAGCUUAACCAAGAACCAACGAACCAUCCAUGCUCUAACCGUAUAGAAUACCGCUUAGGAAAAUUGUUCGUGUCGUGUCAGUACUGUCGACUGGCCUUCAUUUUCCUCUAGGUCUACCAUGAGAUUGUUGAUUGCAACUUCAAAGGCUGAGACCGAGCUAGGUUGCUUCAUACCAAGGCGGACCAUGUAAAGCGACGGGGUUGCCUUUAUUCUCCAAAGAAAGCGCCCACGAGAUGCUAUUCCCUCACUAGUCCUGACAAGGAGACCGUGCUAAUUGAACUGCCAAAUUAAUCUUACCCUGUACGAUGCAAAGAACGUGCAGCAUAUUCACUUUGUUUCCCUAAAGUUAGGUUUCCCGUCCAUCAGCUGCACUGCAAUUAGAAAAGAACUAAUAACUGAACUGAAUACUCCUGAAACAUCUCCUCUCUUGAAUGCAUAUAAAUCUUCUGUACUUCAUCUAGUUCUUAUAUAGGAAAUAACAGGCCAUCCUCUUCAACGUAACUCCAUACAUUAACGAUUCUCGAGCUUAUAACUUUUAGAAAACUUCCAAUGUUACAAAAAGAAAUACUUAUGCAAUGCAUUAAGUGUUCAUUACAAACGUCAUGACGCCAAAACUCCAAGAACUAAAACAUAAUGGUAGCAUCCAUAACGUAAAGCCAAAUUAUUUAUCCUUUUAGAAGUUUUCACACAAAAUUGUUUUAUCCUUCUAAAAGAAAAAGAGAUGUUGAUAUUUGUAGAAAAUGCCGUGGAGCUUUCAUGUCGCUUGUUCCUUCACGGAACUUAUGUGACGCAUGCAACAGAUAUAUAAACCUAGUGAUGCGCACUUCUCUGGUGUCCAAUCCUCUCUGUGUUUUCUCUCGUCGCAUCCACAAGACGUUGGACAGUGGCAAUGAAAGGGAGAUGUGGGACAAAAGGGAUUUUCGGUUGGUGAUAUCCGUGCUAAUCUCAGUUGUGUUAUCGUAGCCUGUAGCCAUAAGCUGUCUUUUGCUUUGGGGAGAAUCUGCAAAAGAGACUUUUCCUGCUGAUUAGACGGCUAAAGAUGUGAUUGCUGUGGGUCAAGAAAAAAAAUAGUGCGGUUAAACUCAAAUCACAUCAAAGCUUGAAGAGAACAAUGUGUUCACAGAAUUAGGGCAAGAUAUUUUUGAAAACGAGGUUAGAAUUUAGAAUCCUUGCCCCUGCAUCAUUGCAAUGUGCACACCAUUCUUAUUAAUUAAUAAGCAGAGUAUAUAGAAUAAAGACAAUAACUGCCGGGCCAUUAUAAGAUAUGAAAUUAAUCCAUUUGACUAAGUCGACUUUCUUCUGCAGCAACGCUUUGAAGAAGAGAUAAACGUCCUCACGCCAUCGUCGCCACGUCUGACCGGAGGAGGCCUGGACAAGGAUUUUCAUCCUCAUUGUUCAAAUCAGCCAAUAAAGACACAACAACAA
rnacentral:lncRNA from 1 species